rnacentral:lncRNA from 1 species
UUUAUAUUAUAUUUUUAAUUAAUUGCUUCUUAUUUUAUAAUCAAAAUAACUAACCAAAAAGUAGUAGAUGGGCGACAAGUCGUAUAUCGACGUAGAAGAAAAUGAGAUACCGCUCAAACGGUGAUUGAUUUGACAGAACCGCAAUCAAGGGAACCAUUUUUUGGAUAAGUUUAGAGCAAUAAUAUUCAGAUUGCUAUGUAAAAAGUAUCCUAAUCUUGGAAAACUUUUCCACCUUAUGAAACAUUGGAAAAUCUUCCCAACUUGACGCAUCGACUUGUUGACCUCUCAAUUGCACUUGUGUGUGGCUUCUAUAAAUUUGGCGUCCAGCAUGCUUGUUUUCUGCACCUUUGUAUGUUUUCCAAAAGCUAAGAGUCAUCAAAAGAUCUUUUGAAUUUCAAUAACACUUCGGUUUAACUUUAUUUAUUUGAUUCUGUUUUUGUAAUAUCAAUGGGGUCACCAACCCUCAGUACAGUAGUUCCUUCACUUGUUUUGUUGAUCCUAUUUUUUGUGUUAAGUUUUUUAAUAACUGUUUCUUCAGAAUCUAAUGAAGAAGCUGAUGCUCUUCUCAAAUGGAAAGCCAGCCUUCAAAGCCAUAACCAAUCUCUCCUUCCUUCCUGGACUAACGCCACCACCAAUGUUUCGUCCAAAAUAAGCCCGUGUGCUUGGUAUGGAAUCAGUUGCAAUGACGCUGGAAGAGUCACCAAUAUCAGCCUCAGAAAUACGGGAUUAAGUGGUACGCUUCGUGAUUUGUCAUUCUCAUCGUUUCCUCAACUUGUGCUUCUUGAUCUCAGUCAUAAUGGAUUGUUUGGUACCAUCCCAUCUCAAAUUGGUAACCUUUCGAAACUCAGCUACAUUUCUUUAGAUUCCAAUCAGUUGUCCGGAAAAAUUCCAGCGGAGGUUGGUCUUCUGACUCAUUUGAAGAACCUUGGUUUUCAAUUCAAUCAAUUAGAUGGCUCAAUUCCACCAGAAGUUUGUCAGUUAAGUUCUAUCGAGGAGCUUUUCUUAUACGCUAACCAUUUAAACGGGUCGCUUCCUCCUUUUUUGGGUAACUUGAGCAAUAUCAUUCGAUUGUAUAUUAGUAAUAAUUCACUUUCUGGUUCUAUUCCUAUGAACAUUGGAAAUUUGAAAUUUCUUUCUGAAUUAGAUUUGAGUGAUAAUCAACUUGGUGGUUCAAUUCCUCUUUCUUUUGGUAACUUGAGUAACUUGGCUCGAUUGUACCUUUAUAAUAAUUCACUCAUUGGUUCUAUUCCGUCAAGUUUAGGAAACUUGAAGCUCAUUGAUUUACAGUUGAGCUCUAACCAACUCACUGGUUACAUCCCACAUUCCUUGGGUAAUGUAACAAGUUUAUCAUCUUUAUUUCUAGCCCAAAAUAAGCUUUAUGGUUCUCUUCCUCCCUCCCUUGGGAAUUCCGUGUUAAGAGUGCUAGAAUUGUCUGGAAACCAUUUCACUGGUUAUUUACCCCACAAUAUUUGUCAAGGUGGAGUGCUAGAGAAGUUUCUUGUUUCUGGAAACCAUUUUCAAGGAACAAUCCCUAAAAGCUUGAGAAAUUGCACAAGCUUAUUCCGAGUACGCCUUAAUGGAAACAACCUUACUGGAAAUAUAUCAGAAGCUUUGGGCAAUUAUCCUAACCUGACUUUCAUAGAUCUCAGCCGCAAUAAUUUUUACGGUGAAAUCUCAUCUAACUUUGGGGAAUGCCCAAAAUUAGGCGCUAUCAACGUUUCGAUGAAUAACAUUACUGGAGGUAUACCGCGUGAGAUUGGAAACUCGUCUCAACUACAAGCACUCGAUCUUUCAUUGAAUCAUAUAGUUGGGGAGAUUCCAAAGGAACUUGGGAAGUUAAAUUCUCUAAGCAAGCUCAUUUUGAGAGGGAAUCAACUGACAGGGCGUCUACCUACAGAAAUCGGCUCACUCAUUGAACUUGAAUACCUCGACUUUUCUGCUAAUAGGUUCAACAAUUCAGUCCCAACAAGUCUCGGCAACUUGGUGAAAUUGCACUACCUGGGCUUAAGCAACAACCAGUUUGUCCAAGAAUUGCCAAAGGAAUUGGAGAAGCUAGUUCAACUUUCAGAAUUAGAUGCAAGUCAUAACCUCUUUGGAGGAGAGAUACCAUUUCAAAUAUGCAGUUUGAAAAGCUUGGAAAGGUUGAAUCUCUCCCACAAUAAUCUCUCUGGUUUGAUUCCAAAUUGCUUUGAGGGAAUGCGGGGUCUAUCAGUCAUUGACAUUUCUGAUAAUCAAUUGCAAGGCCCAGUUCCAAAUAGCACAGCAUUUCGGAAUGCCCCAGUGGAAGCGUUAGAAGGGAAUAAGGAAUUGUGUGGAAGUGUGAAAGGAAUGCAACCAUGCAAAGUUUUCUCGACACACAAGCAAAAUUCUGGAGCCAAGUGGUUUGCACUAGUGUUCCCUGUUUUAGGAGCACUAUUUGUUUCAAUGGCGUUGAUAGCAAUUUUCAUUCUUCGAAAGCAAAAGUCAGACUCAGGAGAUCGACAGAGUAGCAACCAGAACCCUCAGGGAUUGUUUUCUAUAUUAAAUUUCGAAGGGAAACUCGUGUACGAUGAAAUUGUUAGAGCAACAAAUGAUUUUGAUGCAGAGUAUUGCAUUGGAAACGGUGGACACGGAAGUGUUUAUAGAGCUGAGCUACCAUGUGGGGAAGUCGUAGCUGUUAAGAAAUUUCACUCACCACUCCCAUGUGAUCAGAUUGCAGAUCAAAAAGAAUUCUUGACCGAAGUUCAAGCCUUGACAGAGAUACGACAUCGAAACAUUGUGAAGUUUUAUGGAUUUUGCUCACAUGCCCGACACUCUUUUUCGGUCUAUGAAUUUCUUGAAAGGGGUAGCUUGGCUGCGAUCUUGAGCAGUGAUGCAGCAGCACAAGAACUGGGUUGGAUUCAGAGAAUGAAUGUGAUCAAAGGCGUAGCUGAUGCUCUGUCUUACUUGCACCAUGACUGCUUUCCUCCGAUUGUCCAUCGAGACAUAUCAAGUAAGAACUUGUUGCUGGAUUUGGAAUAUGAAGCUCAUGUUGCAGACUUUGGAAUCGCUAAGUUUCUGAAGCCAGACUCGUCCAACUGGACUGAAUUUGCAGGCACAUACGGAUACGUUGCACCAGGUAUUUAUGUAGUACAUUCAGCAGACUUGUAAAAGCUUACUAGUUUAUGCACAUUUAUCUCAUAAACAGAGUAAACAUUUUUUUCUUUGGGUCCUUGACCUUGCAGAGCUUGCUUACACAAUGAAGAUCACAGAGAAAUGCGAUGUGUACAGUUUUGGAGUGUUAGUGUUGGAAGUGAUCAAAGGGAAGCAUCCAAGAGAUUUUCUUUCUUCGAUUUCAUCUUCAUCUCUCAACACGGAUACAGCACUUGAUGAAAUGUUGGACCCGCGUCUUCCAGCUCCAUCAUGCAGUGUUCAAGAAAAACUGAGAUCAAUCGUGGAGGUUGCGUCUUCAUGCUUAAAUGAGAGUCCGGAGUCUAGACCAACUAUGAAGAUAGUCAGUCGACAAUUGCAGAUUUCAGCUGCCUUGACCGAGUCUUAAUUUUCUAAGUAUACUUCUAAUUUACUUGGUGUCUUUUUUUUUUUUUUUUCUUUCUUCUAAUUUGCUUGGUUUAUUUUUCUCAUGUACUGCAGUUUGUUUGGUUUAGUUUUUAAGAAUCAGGAGGCGUUGGUUAUUACGUCAUCCAUAUAUGCUUGGUAUAUGGUGUACUCUUUCAUUUAUAAAUAAAAUAAAGUUUGCACAUGGGGCAGUGGUGAGCACAUUUGAAGAACAAGAUUAGUAAGACAGUUUGUAAUAAUUAAAAAUAAUAAUUUCUUGCGACAAGUACAAAAAGGUGAACCACUCAAAUGUAAACUAGAAAGUGCGUACCACUGUAUUAAUUAAUGGCUGGCUCUUACUUACCGAUAAUGUUAAAUUAAAUGUUAAAAGAAGGGAAUAGAUAUGGGGAAAAAAUUAAAAAUUGAGGAUAAUUUACAAUGUAGUCCUAGUGAUUUAACCGAAGAUCAAAUAAACCAAUAAUAAUCAUUUUUUUUUAAUGAUUUGUCUUAGCUUUGAGUAAACGAUUUGAAGGAACUUAUCGCUCUCACCAAUUGUCUUGAAUGCUCUAAUGGCUUAUACUUUGUAGAAUCGCCAAUGUUGUGAUAACAACUUUGAUGGUUAAAGUUUGAUUGUGAAUCUCGAUUGAAUGACUUAAUUUACAUUUGAUUGUUAUGCCGACCUGUACCAAGUUAAUCUUUUUUCUGGAUGUUUAAUUUUGUUAUGUCAAAGUUAAUUAGUUGAUGUCCUAUAUUUGAUCAAUGUGGAUGGCUGAUCAAAAUUAAAGAAUCCUUGAACGAAUUGCGGCCUUGACAGAGAUACGACAUCAGGGCAUUGUAAAAACAUGACUGACAUUCAAUUUUAGUUUAUGAAUUUCUUGAAAGGGGUAGCUUGGCCAUAAUCUUGAGCAAUAAUGCAGCCGCUGAAGAGUUAAGUGGGUUGGAGUCAGAGAAUGAACGGGAUAAAAGACGAUAGAUUCACGGAACUUCUGCCUCAAAAAAGCAAUCGAUCCAAAUUGGAUAAAUAGUCAACCAAUUAAUCAAACAAGGUUCCCGGAAUAUAAUGAGAACUUGACCUCUUGCUUUAUCUUAGCAACAAGUUGAGUGUUGUGUGACUAAAGAUUAAAAUAUUAAGCAAACUACAAAAUUAUAUCAUUUAAGAAAUUAUAUUUAAGCAUUUACUUAAUUAAAGUUUUAAUUAGCCACCGAGUGACUUAGAUUUAAAAUUUUAGAUAUGACUCUAGUUGAUCUCUUAUGUGAGAAUGUUAAUUCACUGAGCAUCAUGUGACAUUUUCUUUAAAGAUUUUUGAAUUGUUUGAUGGUUGUGAGAGUAAAAUUUAAAAUAAUAAAAAUAAAUAUAAUUAUCAUGUUAAUGGGACCACAUCUUAGUCAUUAAUUCAUAUAAGAAUAUGAAUUCAAAUAUCACGUAAAUGAAAUUUGGAAAAAAAAUAGAUUUGUUAACAUCCCAAUUACAAGUUGACUUUAAAUUUCUAAUGAAUCUAUCAUAAUAUUCCUUUUUUGCUGAAUAAUCAUAUUAAUAUUUAAGUUAUUAGAUAAGGAUCCAACAUUAACAUUUGAAGUUUAUGCUUUAAUAAAAUUAUGUAAAUUCGAUAACAAAAACAUUAAAUUCAAAUAAAAUUAAAAUUUACAUGUCAUUCAGCUAGUGUUGGAAUGACAUAGUACUCGUAUAGAGUUAUAGUGUUCAAUACUUAUUACAACCAGAAUAAGAUUAUUUGAUUCGCCAUAUCUUUUGGAUUUGUAAUUAAUUGGCAAAUGUUUUAACUAAAUUUAUAUUUUGUUGUGUCGAUUUUUAUGUUUGGCUAGGCCCCAGCCAAUUAUCUUGUUAUUUUUUAUAGGUUAUUUGGCAAUAAAUCAAGUCUAUUAUUAAAAAAAAUUACCUGCGAAAAUCUUACUCCAUUUUCAAUUAUUCAUAUCCUAAAUCUUACAAAGGUAAUAAAAUUCCGAAUUAAUUAAAAAAAAUGAUGCGUAAGCAGGUAAGUCCACACGAAACCUACCGAAAAGCGCAAAAGAACACAGAAAAAAAAAAAAAAAAACACGUUCAUUCAAUUUAUCGCGAUACGAUAAAUGCUUAACAAAAUAUCAUAUCAAUUUCACCAUCAAAACUACGGCAAUUUCUUAUAUAUAUUAAAGAAUUUUUUAAAAAAAGCAAAUAGAAACCAAAAAAAAGAGCAACAACUGUACUGGAACUCACCAUUGCCAAUUUCCCAAUGAAUAAAAUAAAUAUAAAGGACUCGUGCCUUCCAUUUCCCUCCUGUUUUGUCACCCGCCUCUUCCUCAUCUCGCCACUUGUUCCCCACAACACACAACAAAUCAGCUUAUGGGAGACAAAAUGAGUUUUACCUUCAUUAUAUACAAGAAAUAAAAAAAGGAAAAUGCUUAACAUCUCGAAAGCUGAGAGAAACGGGUAGCAUGUGCUGCCGUUUUGCCUCUCUUCUCCUCUCAGCCUGAUUAGGGAUGGCAAAAUCAGGAUUCGGAUCCAGAUUUAGGUGCAUCCGCAUCCGCAUCCGGAUUGAGAUAGGGUUAGGGAUUAGGUUAGAUCGGUUUUUACAUUAAGUUUAUAUAUACAUAUAUAUAUAUAUAUAUAUUAUUUUAAUAUAAAAUUAACCGGAUCUGGAUAUCUGGCUUUCCAGAUGCCCUUGUAUCCGGAUCCAGAUCCGGAUCCGUGCGGAUUUUAAUUCAUUACAUCCGGAUCCACAUUUUUUUACAUGCGGAUCCGGAUCUUCCGGAUCCUUGCGGAUGCGGGCCGAAUCCAAAUUUAUUUGCCAUCCCUAAGCCUGAUAAUAAUUUUUUAUUAUUAAAAAUUAAAAAAAUAUAGUAUUAUGGGGAUAAACAAAAAUUUAAUCAUUCGGGACAAACAAAAGCAAGCAGUCCACGUGCUUUCUAUUUGUCUCACUCUUCUUUUUGUUUUUUUUUUUAAUUAAAAAUAUAUAAAAAGGAAAGAAUUAUUAUAACUUGCAUCUCUCUCACCUUCCUCCUUAACUCUCCACAUUAAGGACCUCAGUCACUCGACUCUAUCUGACUUUCUCUCCUCUAAUAACCAGUAAUUUUCACAACAAUUUUCAUACAAUUAAUAUUCCAAACCAAAAAUUCAUCUUUAUCAUCAAAUAAUUACCACCAAAAUUUACAAAAUUAAUCCAAGAAUGCACAAGAAAAAAAUUCAUUUUCUUUCACUGAUCAUCUUCUGUAUUUGGAAGCCGGAGCGUUCUGUAUUUGGUGGCCGGAGAGAGUGAAGAAGCGGUGAGGGGUAGUGAAUCUUCGGAGAUGAGGAUAAAGCCGAGGAUGAGUAAAGAAGUGAGGUAGGAUGAGUUUGAGCUGUGCAAUAGUCAUGAGUGAGGGAGGAUUGAUAUCUCUCUAGAUCCACUCACACUAAGAGAGCACUAGCUAAGAGAAGAAGAGAGCACUAGCAGAUGCAGUAGUGAGAGAGAAAGAGAGUGGUGAUGGCACGCGAACUGAGAGAGAGAGAGAGUGUGAUGUUUUUGUCCCCAUCGAGCUUUUUUUUUAAUAAUAAAAAAGUAUUUUAUGGCUGAGAGGAAGGAGAGAGGAGAAACAAGCUGCCGUUUCUCUCACUCUUCUCUCAGCUUUCUAGAUGUUUAGCACUCCUCAUAAAAAAAUUGAGAAGCUCCACGCAGGGAGUAAGAAAAGUAGAGAACCAAAAGUUAACAUAAAUAAUAGUUUAAAAAGCCAUUAGCAUCUCUAGAAAGAAAAAGUGAAGCUUAUGCAAGAGGUGAAGACCUCAAGUGAAAGUAUAGGUAAAGCAUCUGCAUAAGGUAAUGAUCACCAAAUAAAGUCUGUACAAUGAAGCUCAAGAUUAACAAUGACAAUCUUGAGCAGUAAUGCAACAUCAAAAGAAUUUAUUCGGUUGGUGUCAGAGAAUAAAUGUGAUAUUAUUUGCUCCACGAUUUCUUUCCACCGAUUGUCCAUCGAGGCAUAUCAAGCAAGAAUGUGUUGUUGUAUUUGGAAAUGCAGCUCACUUUUUAGAUCCAGCCUUUGGAAUUGCCAAGUUUAUGAAGCCAGACUCGUCCAAUUGGACUAUAUGCGCGAACGUAUGGAUAUGUCAUUGUUACUCCACGCAUGUAAUAUUCUUUUGGUGCCAUUUUGAGGAAUAUCAUUAUGUAACACAAUCUGUUGACUUAUGAAAGCUUUCUAAUUUAUACACAAUGAUCUUUAAAACAGAGUAAACCAUGAAGAUCAUAACUAGAUAGCGUUGAAAAAAUUAUGUAACACAUUCUGUUGACUUCUUUUUCUUUUUUUGGGUUGACUUUGCGGAGCUUGCUUACACAAUGAAGAUCAUAACUAGAUAGCGUUGAAAAAAUUAUGUAAUAGAUUCAGUAGACUUGUAAAAGCGUACUAAUUUAUGCACAUUUAUCUUAGAAACAGAGUAAACAUUUUUUUAUUUGUCCUUGAGCUUGCAGAGCUUGGUUACACAAUGAAGAUCAUAGAGAAAUGCGACGUGUACGGUCUUGGAGUGUUAGUGUUGGAAGUGAUCAAAGGGACGCAUCCAAGAUAUUUUCUUUAUUCUUUUUCAUCUUCAUCUCUCAACAUGAACACAGCAGAACUUGAUGAAAUGUUGGACCCUCGUCUUCCUUGCGCAAUAUUCAAGAUAGACUGCUAUCAAUCAUGUAGGUUGCAUUUUCAUGCUUAGAUGGGAAUCCAGAAUCGCGACCAACCAUGGAGACACUCAGUCAACGGUUACAGAUUUAGCUUGGCUGAGUUAAUUUUUUAAGUACUUCUAUUGUAUAAAGCUUAGCGGGGGACAAAAUGAGUUUUACGAACUAAAAUAUUGAAAAGCUUCACGCAGGGAGCAGGAAAAGUAAGGAACCAAAAGUUAAGAGAAACAAAAACAAUAGUCUGAAAAGCCAUUAGCAUCUCUAGAAAGAAAAAGUAAAGCUUCUACAGGAGGCGAAGACCACAAGCGAAAGAAAAGGUAAAGCAUCUGCAAGAGGUAAGAUUAGCAAGACAGUUUGUGUAAUCUUGUUAUCCUCUGUGAAAGUACUAGUCUAAAACUCAUUUUCGACAAAAUAUAAUGACAUUUAAGCCAACAAUUACGGAUAAUCCAAAGAAGUUGGAGACUAAGAUUUAAGGUGAACUGCCAUGGAGGAGUCAGAAUCAAUCACUAAAAUAAUUGCCAUAACCCCAGAAUAGUAAUGAUUAAAAAAUAAUUUCUUGCGCAUGUACAAAGAGGUGAACCCCUCAAAUGUAAACUUUAAAGAGUUUACCACUGGAUUAAUUAAUGGAUAAUUCAUACUUAUUGUUAAUGCUAAAUUAAAUGUUAAAAGAAAGGAAUAGAUUUAAAAAAAAAAAAAUUCCUUGUGAUUUAACGAAAAAUCAAGUAAGCCAGUAAUAAUUAGUACUAUUUUUCAAAUAGGUCCUCUGACCGUGUUUGACCACUAACCGUACUGCAAAGUAAGUGGAAAAAAUCGACUUCUUAGCAGCCCACUGAUUCGCGUGCUGGUAGUUAGGCAAGUUCAUUUGUUGGCUGGAGAAAUUUGAUAUUUUGGUACCUAUAUAUGUAUGUUCCUUAAUUUGUGAAUUUGGUAUUACUUUUGAUCAGGUGUGUGAAACAAAAACAACGGCAUCAAUUACAGAAAUAUUUCUAAUGUGCAGCAUGGAAAGCUUGGAGAUGUUGAAUCUCCCCCAAAAUAACCUUUCAGGUUCAAUUCUAAAUAAUUUUGAAGAAAUGUAUGGCUUGUCAUUGGUUGAUACGUCUCCUACUUUGAAUUACAGAGCCUAAUUCCGGUUGAUAGAUAUACUGCCAGAAAAGGCCGGCUUCGGUUUUGCAAAAAUAAAUAAGCUUUGGUACGGACACAGUUGACCCUCCCCUCGCGACAUAUGUUCCAAAAUCUACUUAUAGCCAUAAUUUUUUAUACAAAAGGCAAUAGAAUUGUUGACCCUUAUAAAUUAUGAAUUACAUCCUAAUCUAGUUGCAUAAUUUUGGAUAGAAAAUCUUUGCUUUGAUCAUUACACCGCUUACCCAACGCUCGUCAUUAAUUGGGAUAAGAUUUUAUAUCUCAACUUUCUAAAUAAUUUACUUAACAUUGAAAUAUGCGUGGCAAGAGGACAUUCAGAGUGUUAAAACGAAGGGAGAGCGAAGAGUAGAUAGAUAAGAUAUAGGUUCGAAGGAGUCAAAAUUUGAUAAACUUUUUUGGAUUGUAGCCAACAACAUUUUUUUACUUUUUCCCCGUUUGGAUCUCGGCGUUUAUAUAAAAGCAAAGAUUCAAUGACUAAAACAUGACGCUACUUACAUAAUAUAGAGAUAUAGAUUUACGGGUUUUGUUCUAGUGGGUGACGUGCGACGGGCCACAUGUCCAGAAGGUGAGCGAUGGUGUCUACCAGAUUAGUUCUCUAGAGUUUUAAAUCACCAGUGUAACACAGAUAUUGACUAGGCAGGCAUCGACUCCUUCACUUUUCAAAUUGCUCUUUUGCCUCCGCUUUCUGCAACGUCGUUAAAUUAUAUCUGAGUGUUUGAAAGCCUUUUCAAUUUCAAUCAACUUUGUAUUGCCUUAAUUAUUUUGUUUCCUCUCUGCGUAAUUGAUCUUGUCUCAACGGGGUCACAAACCUUGAAUAGAGUAUCUUCGACUCUUUUGUUGAUCCUAUUUUAUACGAGUUCAAUUUUUCACUUACUGUUUGUAUUAGAAUUUUCAUAUAAUUUGAUAACAUUACCUUAAAAGAAAAACCCGGGGAUGAAAUCUAACACUUACUAAUUAAUUAAAUUUAUUUCAUAAUAAUAAACUUUUUUUUUAAUACUUUGAUAACUUUACCUUAAAAGAAAAACAUUCGCAUGAAUUAUACCGCCUACUAAGGCAUAAACAUGGACUUUUUUUUUUUCCAAUCCAAAUCUCAUCCUAUAUUUGGCAAGGUUUUAUACAUUGGUAGAGGGAUAAAUAGAGAAAAGCAUAUUCAUAGUCCAUUGGACCCAUACCUCUAACAGGAUAAGUUGGGAAGAGCCAUCAAUAAUUUUAACUAAUUAAUUAAAGUUAUUAAAAAAAGUUGAGGGCUGGACAAAGUCCAAAUCACUAUUCAGUCAGGCCCCUGAGGCAAAUUGAACUAAUUAUUGCUAAGAUAACAAUAUUACAGGUAAAUCAACUUAUUCUAUUUGAAUUACUUAAUGACACAUAUAUUACAUAAAUUAAAAUAUUAAAGAAAUUUAUAUUUAUAUUUAUAUUUAAUUAACUUUCAUUCACAUUGAUUCAAAUAAUAAGCAGUACUAUUUUUUUUGUUAAUAAUAUUAUAAAUAUGUUAUUGGCAAUAAUAAAAAAAUGUAUUGCAAAUAAUAAUACAUUUGAAUAUCUUGUAAUUUAAAUAUAUAUUUUAUUAUUUAUUUCAUUUGAGAAUCCUUCUUGUUUUUCAGCUUCAAGUUUGUUUGAAUUAUUUUUCUCAUGUAUCAGUAGUUGAUAAUUGUGUAGGUUAUUACAACUUCCUUACUCGUAGGUACAGUAUAUGGUGUUCUCUCCCUUCUGCAACGUCGUCUAAUAAUUAGUAUUCUCCAGAUAAAUCCUCUGGCCGUUUUUAAUCAUUAACUAAUAAAUCAUGUUUUUUAUUAAUAAUUUAAGGUUUGUCUAUAAGUAAAUAAAAGGAAUUAAUAAGAAAUUAAUGGAAGGAUGAAGAAUUUUGGUGGAGUUAUGAUGUAAAAGAAAAUAUGAACAAUUAAUUGUAGCAUAAAAUAUGAGAAAAACUUGAUAUAUUAUUUGUCAUUCGAUCUUUAAAAGUCUAAGAUUGAUAUGAGAGAAAACAAGAAGGCAUUAACUGAGGUUACAACUCCUUUUCUCGUAACGUGCUCAUUGGAGAAGUCCUAGAAAAUUGAUCGAGGCAACAUGGCUUCAAUUGAUAGAAACCAAACGUUUAAAAUGGCUUGAUUUACAAGAACCCUGUUCGCGAGUCAAUGGUUUCACUAGGAACCCUCGGUCGGCUAGCGGUACCACAAUUAAUAGAAGCAUAAAAAAUAGCUUGAUGUAACAACGAUUUGUACGUACUUCUAAAUUCAUCAUUUGAGUUCGCGAUGAUGAAUUUUCUGAGAUUUUUAAUCAACUAAAUAACAUCCUUUAUUAGCCGAGUCAAGUAUAAAAGGUGCUGGUGGGCACGUGUGUAAAAGUAGAGUGAUUUGUUAUUAUCACACCAGUGAUCUUUAUUAGCUCUGAGUGAAAAGAUCAUCUUAGAUCAGAGGCGAAGCUAAGAGUUGACUAACUUUUUUUUAAAACAAAUAGUUAAUUAUAAUUUACAAAUUUAUCUUCAUUAAUACUUAUAAAAAAAUAAAUCUAAUAAUUACAUGAAUCUUUAUUUACCCAAAUAACAAUUCACAAAACUCUAGAAGUAUCCAACUGAAUCUGAAAUUUAAAUUCAUCAAAAUUUAACUGCUCGAGUCUCUCACCACUGCCGAAUGCCCAAUCUCCUGCACUCGAAUGGACGCCCAACCACUGCCUCAUGAGUGACGCCGAGCCGUUGCCGCAAGGCCCACUUGGAGGCUCAAUCUCUCACAACACUCGAAGUCCCGAAGCCGAAUGCCCAGUCUCUGUUUCUUAUGCAGGGCCUGGUACAAAUUAAUUUGUAUUUUAAAUUUUAAUUUAUAGAAUAGAAUAUGAUUUAUGAUAAUGAUGGCAUAUUGGCAUACAAAGUGGAAUUGUGGAAGUUGUUGAUUAUGUGAUUCAUCUUCUUAAAAUUAUAAAAUAAUAGAAUAUGAUAAUAGAUUAAUCGAAUAUUAGAAUAUGAUAAAUGGUAAUGAUGACAUACAAAGUGGAAGCUGCUGAUUCAUCUUCUUGAAAUUAUAAAAUAACAAUGGCAUACAAAGAAUGAGUGAAUAGAAUAGUAUUUUCGAAUUAGUUUUUAACUUGUAGUAUUGUCAAAUUUUUGAAUAACACAAUUAAUAAUUCUCUAAUGUAUUAUUAUCACAAAUUCAAUGUUAAACAGGCCAAGAAAAAAAUUACUUUUUUUUUUAUAAGAGAGUAGGUGAAAAUCAAUCAUCCACCAAGUCUUUAUCUCCAUCUCAGGUUAAUGCUCAAGAUUCCAAAGAGCAACAUACUUCCAAAUCUCAAAGGGUUGAAGUUGAAGAAACUAUAAAUACUUAUCUGGAGUGUGAUCCUGGAUUAUGUCCUCAAAUAGGGACAUUUUCAGUGAAUCAACAUGAUGAUAUUCGAAGGCAGUAUAUCUAAGUGGGACUUUUCAGGCUAAAUUAUGAUAUUAUCCACUAACUAAUGAUGGCAAACAACAAUGUAUGUUUCAGUAUCACUGGUUUAAAAAAUUUCCAUGGCCUGAGUACUCUUGAGGUUAAAGAUAGUGCAUUUUGUUUUUCAUGCUUUCUUUUUGAUGAAAUUCUAUCGAACAAUCCAAAAUUCGUUAUUGAAGGGUUUUCGAAUUGGAAGAGAGCCAACAAUGGAAAAAAAAAAAAGUCCCCUUUUUACAACAUGAAGGGGAUCCAUCUUCUCAUCAUAAUAAGAAUAUGCAGAGUAGGGGUUGUUUGAGGAACCCAAUUACAUACAUUGAUAGAUUAAUUAAUGCCCAAACUUAACUACAAGUUUUAGAGAAUAGACUACGAUCGAAGACCUCAAAUAUUAUUGUCAAACGGUUAGCAAAGCAAGCUUGACCUCAAUAGCCAACCAAGAUUUGUGUUGAUAACAAAUCAACGAUUGCCUCAUCUAAGAAUCCAAUCUUUGAUGAUCGAAGCAAACGCAUAGAUACUUACUAUCAUUUCAUAAAGGAGUGUAUUGCAAGAAAAGAAGUGCAAAUCAAGUAUGUAAAAUCAAAGGAUCAAGCAGCUGAUAUCUUCACCAAGCCGCUCAAGCAUGAAGACUUUGUAAAAUUCAAAAGUUUGCUUGGUGCCACAGAAUCAAGUUUAAAGGGGGUGUUAGAUAAUAAACUUGAUCCAAGAUGAACAAAUUCAAGCCUAAAUACAUAGAAGUUUCUUGUGGUAAGUGUGGUAGGUCUGGUUGGUGAAGUAAGGAAGUGUUAGGUUUUGAUGAAUGAUUAGGAUUUGUUUUGCAUUUGAAUGAAAGAAUGGUUGUGAUGGAUUUGUAAUAUGUAUAAAUACCCCCCAUGUAUUAGGUUUAAGCAUUAAGUGAAGCAAAAAAGUCUCUAAAUUAUAGAGAGUGAAAAAUAAGAGUUGUAGUUGAGGAGUAUUGUUGAAGAAAUAAAAUAGUGUUUUAUUUUCAAAAUUCUCCAAUAGUUUGAUCGAUCCAAUUUAACUAGAUUGCUAAAUGAAAACAAGAUCUGUGAUGACUGAUUUAUAUUGCGCGCAUUGAUUGGAUUUGAAGUUGUGCUACUUGAGCGGGCCAUUUUGGUUCUGAUACCAUGAAAGAAAUGUAAAAUGAAAGUGUUUGGCUGCUAAGAAAAUUAGAGAAAACUCUAUAGAAUAGCAAGUUUGCAUUUCUUUUCAAUUUUCUCAGCAACUGUAAUGAUUGCAACAUCAUAUGUGUGUGUGUGUGUAUAAUCAUGAUUCUAUUGUAACUAAUUAACAAAAAACUACUGUUAAAGCUAACUAAUUUCCAUCACAGCACACAAUGCACAUGUAACAAACUUUAACUAGCUAAGUUGAGUUGUCACUGUGCUCUGCUCCCUUGUUUAGUUUCUGCUUCUCAUUCCUCUGCUUUUCCUUCUUCUUUUCUACACAAUGAGCUACUUUAACAAAAUUAAAAUUAUGGCCACGAUGUUAGUAAAUUGGAAAGGUAACUAUAUCGAGAAAUUCAACAUUAUUUUCUUUGUUAAACUAGCUGAUAUGAAUAUGAAAAGAAAUUUUAAUUCAACUUUUGAAGCCUUUUUGUCUCGACCAUUUUAAUAUCUUUAUCAAAAGUUACAUUUAAUGACCCAAAAAGGGGUAUUGAAAAGCCAAUCCUAAAAUAUUUAGACUUUCCAUUCUCUCUCUGCCAUAACUUUUGGGGAGAUAAGUGUCCGGUAAAAGUACGUAACUCUUUCUUCUACAGUGCUUUUUUCUCUAAAAAAGGUGCUUGAAUGAAAGUUGCUUUAAGCCAUCAUGGCUUAACUUUCGUCACCCCAAGAUUGGGUGCUUUUUCUUUUCUUUUUUGAUUCUCGCCUCCUUUUAGCCUUUAUUUCUUUUCUUUUAAAUCUUCUUUUAUGUCUACCAUCUAGAAACCACAAGUGUCAAGCAAAUCGGUAGAAGGCAAUUCUAGUUGAGCAACUUUAAAGUUGGCUUAUCUCUAAUCUUCGGAAUGAAUACAGAGGAACUAAUCAGAAAAUGUCAAGCAAUCGCGUUAAAAGAGAAAGAAGAGGAUGUCGUAACUUUUAUGGGAAGGAUGAAGAUAAAAGGGGAGAAAACUGCUGCAAAUAGUUUGGUGGGAAAAAUCCUUCACACACGAGGGGUCAACAAGGAAGGGUUAAAGACAACUAUGCAACUAGCUUGGAGAACGGUCAAAGAAAUCAAGGUAGAAAGCAUGGGUGAUAAUGUCUUUCUAUUCAGGUUUGACUCAGAGGAGAAGAAAAAAAGAAUCCUGAUGGGAGGGCCAUGGCACUUCGAUCAUGCACUUAUAGUAUUAUCAGAGCCAAAUGUUGUGGGUAAUAUAAAGGAACAAACAUUCAUGUUCACAUCAUUUUGGGUUCAGAUCCACAAUAUACCCAUCAUGUGUAUGAACAAGGAUGUUGUCACAGAGGUUGGGAAAAAGAUUGGCAAGGUAGAGGAAAUUGACACGGAUCAGGCAGGGGAGUGCAUUGGCCAGUUUGCUCGAGUUAGAAUCUACACAACCUUUGAAGAAGGUAGUUUUUGUGAAAGUAGAUGGGACCAAAAUUCCAAUGCCGGUUCUAUAUGAAAAAUUACCAGAUUUUUGCUUUUACUGUGCUCACAUCGGCCACCAAUACAAGGAGUGUUUGAAGUACAAGGGUCAAUCUAAAGAUGAGCUUCCUUAUGGAGGUUGGAUGAGAGCAAUGACACAAUCAGAAAGAAUAAAACUAAAUCAAACGAGGGAGAAAGGCUUUCAAGAACAAGUCAAUACCAAAAAUAGUAAUGCAGUAGUCAAUGUCCCAAAACCAACUCAGAACCAACUGAAUCCGAUUAAAUCUCAAAAACUACAGUCAAGCACCAUGGUAACUGAGAAGGAGAAUAGAGGAGCACCAGGAGCCACAAAUCAAAAGCUUGACAUUGCAAACGAAUCGAUCCAGCUGGCUAAGGACCCAAAUGGAAAGUUACCAGCAGAAAGUCAAAUCAUGGGUAACGUAUCCAGUAAGGUGCAGAGUAAGGAAAAUGGCAGUGAUAGCAGCACUAGAACCAAGAGCCCUCAUGCGGGAAGUGCAAACUGGCGGGAAAAAAUCAUGAAAAAAAUAGCUCAAAUAUUUUAGAAGAGGACCAGUCAACGUCAGACGGAAAAGGAGUGGACAAGGGACCAAACAAAGUCAAACCUCGGCCCAAAACCAAAAAGUGGAAAAAGCAAGCAAGAUCUUCAGGAGGUGAAAGUGGAAACGCAUUUGGGCAGAUAGGAACAAAAAGACCAAAUAGUGAGCUGACAUGGCCUAGCCCGGAUAGUAAACGCAUUAAAACUUUCAGCCCUUUGAAACCACACAGGAGGAACUUCCUCAACUCUCCCAAAGCAAAGCUUCAGCUGAAGUUAAUUGAUACAGAGUCUGAUGCAGUGGUGGGAUUGGAACAUAUGGAGGAGGACAUAUCGGCGGGAGCUGGGAGCCAGCCCCGCUGGCAAUCAUUAAGGUCCUAAGCUGGAACGUUCGAGGUCUGGGGAAGCCUCAAACGCGCCAAGCCAUAAAGAAAGUUCUCCACCUGCAUAAGCCAGAGAUCUUUUUUUGCUGCGAAACUAAAAUGCUGGCUAAGCAGGUUUCUGUAGAAGGCAGAAAUUUUAACUUCGAGUAUUGUUUUGCGGUGGACAGAGAUGGAAUGGGAGGAGGUCUAGCUUUGUUUUGGAAUGGCAAAGACAAUGUUGAAAUAAAGUCAUUUAGUAAGCAUCUCAUCGACGCCUUGGUUCACAAUGACAGUGGAAAAGUGUGGAGGUGCAUAGGGGUAUAUGGUCACCCUAAAACUUCUCAGAGACACCACACCUGGACACUUUUGAAGAGGCUGGUAGGUAUCUUCUCUCUUCCUUGGUGUUGUUUUGGAGAUUUUAAUGAAGUCUUGUAUUUGCAUGAGAAAUUGGGGGGGAGGGAUAGAAACCCGAACUUGGUAGCAAGCUUUAGGGAAGCAGUUGAGGCAUGUAAUUUGAUGGAUGUUGGCUAUAGUGGAUACAAGUAUACAUGGUCAAAUAGGAAAUACAAUUCCCAAUUCAUUGAGGAAAGGCUUGAUUGAGUCCUUUGUAGCAAAAAUUGGACUGACACUUUUCAAGACUCAACAGUGGCAAACUUAGUGAAUUGGGUUUCCGAUCAUUGCCCAAUUCUAAUGAAGGUGAAAGAAAGAGACAAGGCCAUGAAGUACGAAAAGAAAUCUUUUAGCCAAAAUUACUACGAAGACUUGUGGAGUUCAUACGAAGAUUGCAAAAACAUUGUCAACAAAGAAUGGGCUGUGUUUGGAGGGAGAUUGAAGGCAAAUCCAGUGCAGCAAUUCCAAAAGAUAGCUAAAAGCUCUCUAGCCAACCUCAAAAUUUGGAGCAACUGAGAAUUCAAAGAUCGGGAAAAGCAGUAAAAUAAAAGAAAUCUUUUAGCCAAAAUUACUACGAAGACUUGUGGAGUUCAUACGAAGAUUGCAAAAACAUUGUCAACAAAGAAUGGGCUGUGUUUGGAGGGAGAUUGAAGGCAAAUCCAGUGCAGCAAUUCCAAAAGAUAGCUAAAAGCUCUCUAGCCAACCUCAAAAUUUGGAGCAAUUGAGAAUUCAAAGAUCGGGAAAAGCAGUAAAAUAAGCUAAUCGAGCAGCUUAAGGUGGCUAAACAAAGCUCGGGCCAUGCAAUGGAUGGGAUGCAAAUUAGGAAGCUGAAGAAUUAAAUUAGCAACAAGCUAAUGGAUGAGGAGAUAUAUUGUAAACAAAUAUCAAGGGCAGAAUGGCUAAAAGAGGGAGACAGAAACACUAAAUAUUUUCAUGUGAAGGCUUCAGCUUGUAGAAGGAAAAAUAAAAUUUGGGGAGUUGAAGACAAUAAUGGUCAGUGGCUGAAGGACCAGAAAGAUAUCGACUGGGAGUUUAGUGAAUUUUUUCAAGACCUUUUCACAACUUCCAAUCCAAGCUAUGUUCCGAUUCAAGAAGCCGUAUCAGGGCUGCAGCCAAAGGUAAAUUCAUAGAUGAACCAUCAGCUAGAUGAGCCAUUCACAGCAGAUGAGAUAGUGGAAGCACUGGCUCAGAUGGGUCCAACAAAAGCCCCAGGUCCAGAUGGCUUGCCGGCUGUUUUUUUCCAAAAAUAUUGGCUAUUAACCAGAGAGGGAGUUAUAGCUACCUGCUUGCAUAUUCUCAAUGACAAAGGUAACUUAGAUUCUCUUAAUCAUACUCACAUUGCCCUAGUGCCUAAGGUUGCCAAGCCCCGAAAAGUUACUGAAUUUCGACCAAUAAGCUUAUGCAACGUUGUGUACAGAAUCAUAGCCAAGGCAAUAGCUAAUAGAUUGAAACCAACCUUAUCCCAAAUCAUCUCCCCGACUCAUAGUGCAUUUAUUCCCAAUAGACUCAUUACAGACAAUGUGAUUAUUGGUUAUAAAUACCUCCACAAGAUUAGGCAUAGCAAAAGCAAAAGAAAUGGUUUGGUGGCUUUUAAGCUAGACAUAAGCAAGGCCUACGAUAGAGUAUAAUGGUAUUUCCUAGAGCAAACUAUGAGAAAGCUAGGGUUUUCUAAUCAGUGGAUAAGCUUAAUAAUAAGGUGUAUUACCAUUGUUUCUUACUCAGUUAUCAUCAAUGGAGUACCAAGAGGCUUGAUUUUUUCCUAAAAGAGGGCUUAGGCAAGGGUGUCCACUCUCCCCAUACAUGUUCUUUUUAUGUGCUGAAGUCUUUUCCAGCUUGCUGUCCCAGGCAAAAAGAAAUCAGCAAAUCAAGGGCUUGAGAUUCGUCAAAGAUGUUACUAUCUCCCAUCUCCUCUUUGCGGAUGAUAGUCUAAUUUUCACAAGAGAUGCAGUGGCUGAUUGCAAGCAUCUAAAAGGUCUCUUUGAUACUUAUACAAAGGCAUCGAGGCAGAUUUUUAACUUUGAAAAGUCAUCUAUGUUUUUCAGUGGUAAAAUUUUCGAGGGGCAGAUUUCAGCGAUCAAGAGUAUUUUCAAGCUCAAGGUGGUUCCCAAAUAUGAAAGAUACUUAGGCCUCCCAUCCAUGAUAGGCAGUAAGAAGAUGAGUUUUUUCAAGGAUGUCAAAUUAAAGGUCUUAAGCAAAAUUUCCAGCUGGCACCAUAAAAUGUUCUCUAGUGGAGGAAAGGAAGUUCUUAUUAAAGCAGUCGCUUAAGCCAUCCCAGCAUAUGCCAUGAGCGUUUUCAAGCUUCCGAAGGGACUAUGUGAAGACAUCCAAAGAGCUAUUGCCAAAUUUUGGUGGGGUUCGAAUCAAGAUAAGCAAGCAAUCCACUGGCCGAGAUGGGAAAAAUUAAGUUGUGCAAAGAGUAGAGAGGGGCUGGGAUUCAAAUACUUCACAAGCAUCAAUCAAGCAAUGGUGGCUAAACAAGGUUGGAGGCUGCUUCAGUUUCCGGAUUCCCUGGUAUCCAAGGUACUGCAGGCCAAAUACUAUAGGAACUCCUCAUUUUUUAAUGCAAAGGAAGGUUCUAAUCCUUCUUUUAUCUGGAAAAGCAUCCUUUGGGGUAGGCAAGUCAUAAAAAAAGGGGCAAGAUGGUGAAUUGGGAAUGGGAGCAAUAUUCAGGUGUACAAAGACAGCUGGCUGCCAAGAUUGGAUACUUUCAAGCCGAUAUCCCCUCCAACUUUGCCCAUGGAAACAACAGUGGCCGAGUUGAUAACUGAGGACAGUAAUUGGAAUGAAGCUAAGCUAAAGCACCACUUUUUCGAGAAGGACACAGAAGCAAUACUCAAAAUUUCCCUCCCCCCAAGCCAUAAAGAGGAUUCCUUACUAUGGCAUUUUGACAAAAGAGGGGAAUACACUGUAAAAAGUGGCUACCAGGUGGCUCUCAAGCUUAAAUUUCCAAAUCAGGCCAGCAGCUCAGCCAGCCCCUCCCAAAGAUGGAAUAAUCUGUGGUCUCUCAACUUGCCUGAAAAAAUCAAAAUCUUCAUGUGGAGAGCAUCUAAAAACCUUCUUCCAACAGCUGAAAACUUGUGGAAAAGAAAAUGUCUCCAAGAUCCAAUUUGCAAAAGAUGCUGCAGGAGUGUAGAAACCAUUUACCAUGCUCUGAUGGAGUGUAAAGCAACGAAGAAGAUCUGGACUCAUGCUUCUCUCCAGCCCAAUUUUCAGAAUACUCCAAACCAGAGCAUCUUCAACAUCAUCCAAGAUAUGCCCUCCAAUAUGCGGAAAUCUGAUUUCGAGCUUUUGAUCUCACUAUGUUGGGUGGCUUGGUAUGCUCGAAACAAGUUUAUUUUCGAAGGAAAGAAGAUACACUCAAGGCUCUCCGCAGCUAAAGCUGAAGCAGUGAUUGAUGCCUUUCAAAGAGCUAGGAAGCGUGGAGCCACUCAUAUCCAUAACAGCAGCAAAGUACCUCAGCAUAAGUGGAAGCCCCCUCCGAAGAAUGUUUCAAAGUUAACGUGGAUGCAGCCAUAAACAGCAAGAGUUAAAUGGCAGGCUUAGGAGCUGUAAUAAGAGACUCAUAAAACAAUUUUGUAGCUGCAGGCAUCAUGCAAACUGGUAUGAAGGAGCAUGUCAGCUAUGCAGAAGCUGAAGCCAUUGAAUGGGGAUUAAAGCUAGCUAAAAGGGCAGCUCUUUCCACUUUGAUCAUAGAGUCAGAUUGUCUAGAAGUGGUUGAGUUAGUAAACAACACAAAGAGCAACAAAACAGGACUAUGGUGGAUAAUUGAAGAGAUCCAGAACCAAAAAAGAGAAUUUUGUAAUGUAUUUGUCAAUCAUAUCCCUAGAACCUGUAAUGUUUGUGCUCAUUCCCUAGCAAAAUUUGAUGUGGGAGCAAAUACGCCUGCUAUCUGGUUAGACCAUAUUCUAGCAAAGGUGAUGAAUGUUCUGGUCUAGUGUUGUUUUAAAUGGAAAGGUUUACUUUCUUCUAUAAAAAAAGUGUCCGGUAAACAAGUUGGUCAUUCGCUGUUAGGAUCCAAAGAAACAUUGAUUAGUCAAUUAAUUUGUCCAUUAAUCUUGAUCACAAAUAUUUAUUCUAUUUUUUGGGAUGACUUUCCAUGGACUUUAACUGUAGUUGGAAAGAGAGUGGCAAUCACAAUACAAAGAUUGAUUUGAUACAACUGCAUGCAACAAGAGACCAUUUUUUCGGGUAAUUUUAACAUAGUACUGAUUUAUGCAAUGGCAACAAAAAUAACUAUAAACCACAUGAUUUUAUAGUGUUAAGUCAAAAAUUAAUAUUAUUUUUCAAUUAAAAUUAUAACACCGCAUGGUUAUACUAUUGUUUUAUCGUUAUUGUGUCACCGUUAGAGCUCUUUAUCAUUUUCCAUUUGAAUAUCCUAGAUGUCUUUGAAGACUUUUGCCUUAACAACCGGGGAAAAUUCUUCCUUCUUGAUCUCUCAAUUGCUUGUGUAGAUUCUAUAUAAUUGUGGUUCCCAAUUUGCUUGCAUUUUCCAGGGGUGUUAAUUUAUAAGUGUUUGAAAAACUUUUCAUAUUACUAAAUAUGAUCGGGUAUAGUCAAAUUUAGGGGUGGGCAGAAUCGAACCGGACCCAAAAUAUUAUAAGUUCGGUUUGGUUUUUCGGUUCGAUCUGACAUGUUUCUUAAAAAAAAACCUCAAAAAGUCAAAUAUUCCGGUUCAGUAUAAAAGUGAAUGCUCUGUUCAAUUUUUAGAUCAAAAUUUAAAAUCCAAAAACUAAACCAAAAGACCAAAAAAAUAAUUUUUAAAUUUAAAAUGGCCACGUGGCAUUUAGGGAAGACAAAACCGAACUGGUUUGGUUUGGUUUUUUAAACUAAAAAAAUUAAAUGGAUUAAUACCAAAACCAACCCGAAUAGAAAUUCUCAAAUCGAUUAUCUGAAAGUUUUAAACCGAGCCGAACCAAAAUUUUGGUUCAGUUCGGUUUUGCCUAUCCGUAGUCAAAUCUAAUCGCAUCCUAUCAGGUUCGUUGUAAUUAUGUAUAUCAAGCAUAUCGAUCUUCGAUUUUUGGUAUUUACAGUAUCUUUCUCUGAUUUUAUUGAUCCUGUUUUAUGUGUUUCACUAUUUAUUACACGAUUUUGAUAACAUUAAGGGAUCCUGGAUUUCUAGUAUUCAGAAACCACAAAUGGAUUAUUACAAUCCAGAACUUAUCCUAUAUUUGUCACGGUUUUAUUGGGUGGGGAUAAGUUUUUCGUGACAAAUUUGGCACACCAAGUGCACCCUAAAUACAGUAGAAAAAACCAGUGGCAUUCCUCCUAAUAACUCCAAUGAUUUUUCCUGAAAUUAAAACCAUAUCCUUUAGGCUUUAACCCGUACAAAUAAAGUUUUAGUAUCUUACUAAAGAGGCAUAUAAUGACAAACUUAAAGGGUGUGAAAAUACACCAGACUAUUUAGACUAUGGGCACGGAUGUUAUUUUCCUUUCAUUGACUGGCAUGUAUAUAUGUGCGUGUGUCCAAAAAAACCUUGGACAAUUUGUCCAUUAAUCUUGAUUACAAAUAUUUUUUAUUCUAUUUCCUUGGAUUACUUUUCUUACUCUUUUUAUAAAAAAUAAUGAAAAAAGGGAGAAAAAUCUUUUGUGGAAAAACUAUGAGCAUUAUUCUUGAUUGUCUGUCAGCUAUAGUGGAAAAGCCCAAGUGCUUUUAACAUUUUUUGAAUUGUUGCUCUUCAAACGACAAGAAUCUCUAUGGAAAAAAUUUGACCACUUAUCAAAUAGUUUGUUAGCUUUAAAAGCCUAGACAAUUUAACAUGUUAUGAAUUGAACGUUGAAGACUCAACUCGAAUAUUCUUUUGUGACACCAAACUAAAUUAACCGGAUUAGUUUACUCUAAUUUACCGUACCAAAGAAAUUUACCCUACCAGUUAAUUAACCAACAAAUCGUAUAUCGCGUACAAGAACAUGACAUACGGCUCAAACGGUGAUUGAUUUGACUCAACUGCAACAAAGUGAACCAUUUUUUUGGAUAAUUCUAGAGCAAUAAUAUUCAGACUAGCAUGUUAAAAAAAAAUCCUUUUCGGAAGACUCUUCCACCUUAUCGAGGAAAAAUCUUCCCGACUUGACGCAUGCACUUGUUGACCUCGCAAUUGCUUUUGUGUGUGGUUUCUAUAAAUUUUGAGUCCAACAUGCUCGUUUUCUGCACCAUUGUAUGUUUUUCAAACGCUAAGAGUCAUCAAAAGCACUUUUGAAUUUCAAUAAACCUCGGCUUAACUUUAUUUGUUUGAUUGUAUUUUGAUAAUGUCAAUGGGGUCACAAACCCCCAAUGCAGUAGUUCCUUCACUUGUUUUUUCGAUCAUAUAUUUUUGGUUAAGUUUUCUAAUAACUAUUUCUUCUGAAUCUAAUGAAGAAGCUGAUGCUCUUCUCAAAUGGAUAGCCAGCCUUAAAAACCAUAACCGAUCUCUCCUUUCUUCUUGGAUUAACGACGCCACCAAUGUUUCAUCCAAAAUAAGCCCGCGUGCUUGGUCCGGAAUCAGCUGCAAUGAUGCUGGAAGAGUCAUCAACAUCAGCCUCCCAAAUAUAGAAGUAAACGGUACGCUCCAUGAUUUCUCUUUCUCAUCGUUUCCUCAUCUUGCUUAUCUUGAUCUCACCUGGAAUGGAUUCUUUGGUACUAUCCCGCCUCAAAUCAGUAACCUUUCGAAUCUCAGAGGUUGGUCUUCUGAGUCAUCUGGAGGUUCUUAACAUUCAGCUUAACCGAUUAGAUGGCUCAAUUCCACCAGAAGUAGGCCAAUUAAGUUCUAUGGAGGAUAUGUACUUGUACUCUAACUACUUGAACAGUUCAAUCUCUCCUUUAGGAAACUUGAGCUACAUGUCCCGAUUGGUUAUUAAUGAUAAUUCACUUUCUGGUUUCAUUCUCCUGCACAUUGGAAACUUGAAAUUUUUGUCCCAACUAGAUUUGACCAAUAAUAAAUUUAGUGGUCCAAUCCCUCUUUCUUUUGGUAAUUUGAGCAAUUUGAUUUCUUUUACCUCUAUGGAAAUUUACUUUCGGGUUCUAUCCCAUCAAGUUUAGGAAAAUUGAAGUCCCUUUUUGAUUUACAGUUGAAUGUCAUUCAAUUCAUCGGUUAUAUUCCACGUCCCUUUAGUAAUCUAACUAGUUUAUCAACUUUGCGUUUGUCUAAAAACGAGCUUUUUGGUUCUAUUCCAGAUGAAAUAGGAAAGACGAGGUCUCUUAGCGUUCUCGAUUUGAACCAAAAUCAAUUUAAGGGAGUUCUUCCACCAUCUAUUAGCAAUUUGACCAACCUAAAAGAACUAGCCCUCCUUUACAACCACCUAUCCGGUUCCAUUCCUCCCUCCCUUGGGAAUCUCAUAUUAAGAGAGCUAUUAUUGUCUGGAAACCAUUUCACUGGUUAUUUACCCCACAAUAUUUGCCGAGGUGGAGCACUAGAGAUUUUUACUGUUAGUGAAAAGCAUUUUCAAGGAACAAUCCCUACAAGCUUGAGAAAUUGCACCAGCUUAAUCCGAGUACGCCUUAAUGGAAACAAUCUUACUGGAAAUAUAUCAGAAGCUUUGGGUAUUUAUCCUAACCUGACUUUCAUAGAUCUCAGCCGUAAUAAUUUUUACGGUGAAAUCUCAUCUAAUUGGGGGAAAUUCCCAAAAUUAGGCACUCUCAAUGUUCCGAUGAAUAACAUUACUGGAGGUCUACCGUGUGAGAUUGGAAACUCGUCUCAACUGCAAGCAUUUGAUCUUUCAUUGAAUCAUAUAGUUGGGGAGAUUCCAAAGGAACUUGGGAAGUUGAAUUCUCUAACCAAGCUCAUUUUGAGAGGGAAUCAACUGACAGGGCGUCUACCUACAGAAAUCGGCUCACUCACUAAACUUGAAUACCUCGAAUUAUCCGCAAAUAGGUUCAACAAUUCAGUCCCAGAAAGUCUCGGCAACUUGCUGAAAUUGCACUACUUGGUCUUGAGCAACAACCAGUUUGUCCAAGAAUUGCCAAAGGAAUUGGAGAAACUGGUUCAACUUUCAGAAUUAGAUUUGAGUCACAACUUUCUUGGAGGAGAACUACCAUCUCAGAUCUGCAAUAUGAAAAGCUUGGAGAAGUUGAACCUCUCCCACAACAACCUGUCUGGAUCAAUUCCAAGUUGCUUUGAAGGAAUGCACGGGUUGUCAUUCAUUGACAUAUCCUACAAUGAAUUACAGGGUCCAAUUCGUAAUAGCACAACAUUUCAAGGAGCUUCAGUGGAAGCAUUAAAGGGGAACAAAGAAUUGUGUGGAAGUGCAAAAGGAUUGCAACCAUGUAAACCUCUAAGGCAACAAAAAAGUAACUCUGGCGCCAAAUGGUUUGCAAUAGGGUUCCCUCUUUUAGGAGCACUAUUUGUUUCAAUUGCGUUGAUAUCAAUUUUCUUCGUUCUUCAAAAGAAGAAGUCAGACUCAGGAGAUCGACAGAGCAACAACCAAAUCCCUCAGGGAUUGCUUUCUAUAUUAAAUUUCGAAGGCAAAAUUUUGUACGAUGAAAUUGUUAAAGCAACUAAUGAUUUUGAUGCAAAAUAUUGCAUUGGAAACGGUGGACAUGCAAGUGUUUACAGAGCUGAGCUACCAUCUGGGGAAGUCGUAGCUGUUAAGAAAUUUCACUCACCACUCCCAUGUGAUCAAACUGUUGAUCAAAAAGAGUUCUUGACCGAAGUUGAGGCGUUGACAGAGACUCGACAUCGAAACAUUGUGAAGUUUUUUGGAUUUUGCUCACAUGCCCGCCACUCUUUUUUGGUCUAUGAAUUUCUUGAAAGGGGUAGCUUGGCGGCGAUCUUGAACACUGAUGCAACAGCACAAGAACUGGGUUUGGAGCCAGAGAAUGAAUGUGAUCAAAGGCGUAGCUGAUGCCUUGUCUUACUUGCACCAUGACUGCUUUCCUCCGAUCGUCCAUCGAGACAUAUCAAGUAAGAACUUGUUGCUGGAUUUGGAAUAUGAAGCUCAUGUUGCAGACUUUGGAAUUGCUAAGUUUCUGAAGCCAGACUCGUCCAACUGGACUGAAUUUGCAGGCACAUGCGGAUACGUUGCACCGGGUAUUUAGUAUUUGUUUGUUCCCAUUUUGAGGAAUAUUUUUAUGUUAUGUGUGCGGUAACAGAACAAUGCAACUAGAUAUUGUUGAAAAAAUUAUCUUAGAAACAGAGUAAAAGCUUACUAGUUUAUGCACAUUUAUCUUAGAAACAGAGUAAACAUUUUCCUUUUUUUUGUUGUUUGGUCCUUGACCUUGCAGAGCUUGCUUACACAAUGAAGAUCACGGAGAAAUGUGACGUGUACAGUUUUGGAUUUUUAGUGUUGGAAGUGAUCAAAGGGAAGCAUCCAAGAGAUUUUCUUUCUUCGAUUUCAUCUUCAUCUCUCAACACGGAUAUAGAACUUGAUGAAAUAUUGGACCCGCGUCUUCCAGCUCCAUCACGCAGUGCUCAAGAAAAACUGAUAUCAAUCAUGGAGGUUGCUUUUUCAUGCUUAAAUGAAAGUCCGGAGUCCAGACCAACUAUGAAGAUAGUCAGUCAACAAUUACGGAUUUAACCUCAGCUGCCUUGACUGAGUCUUCAUUUUCUAAGUUUACUUCUAAUUUGCCCGGUUUAUUUUUCUCGCGUACUCUAGUUUGUUUGAUCUAGUUUUCAAGAAUCAGGAGUGGUUAUUAUGUCAUCCAAAUAUACUUGGUAUAUGGCGUACUCUUUGAUUUAUAAAUAAAGUUUGCUCAUUCAAAGAACGUAUGGCCCAGUGGUGAGCACAUUUGAGGGCAUGUGGAGUCUGUACAAUGAACACCAAGAUUAGUAAGACAGUUUGUAAUGUCAAGGCCGAUUCCCGCGGUGGUAUCUAGGGCAUGAUAAAUUUGUAAAGGAAUAUGUUCAUGGACCAUUCAUUUCUUGGCUUGAUAAAUUUGAUAUUCUGGUACCAAUUUUUUUUUUUUUUUUGUGAAUUUGAAAUAACUUUUCAUCAGGGUAAUAACUUUGAUCUUUUUUUUGUUAUAUAAAGAGAUUUUUGGAAUGAUUGUCUUAGCUUUGAGUAAAUGAUUUGAAGGAACUUAUAGCUGUCACCAAUUCUCUUGAAUGCUCAAUGGCUUAUACUUAGAAGAAUUUCCAAUGUUGUGAUAAUAACUUUGAUGGUUAAAAUUUGAUUGUGAAUCUCUGUUGAAUGACUUAAUUUACAAUUGAUUCUUAUACCGAACCUUUACCAAGUUAAUCUUUUUUCCGGAUGUUUAAUUUUGUUAUGUCAAAGUUAGUUGAAGUGCUAUGUCAAAAUUGGUUGAUGUCCUAUAUUUGAUCAAUGUGGAUGGCGGAUCAAAAUUAAAGAAUUCUUGAACGAAGUUGAGGGCUUGACAGAGAUACGACAUCAGAGCACAGUAAAACAUGACUGACAUUCAAUUUUAGUUUAUGAAUUUCUUGAAAGGGAUAGCUUGGCCAUAAUCUUGAGCAAUAAUGCAGCCACAGAAGAGUUAAGUGGGCUGGAGUCAGAGAAUGAAUAGGAUAAAAGGCGCUGCCGAUGCCUUGUAAUAUUCCUUUGUUGCCAUUUUGAGGAAUAUGAUCAUACGCAUUGAUCUUUCAAAAGAGAGUAAACAUGAGUUUAGCACUAAAUCGACGGCCAAGAUUUGUCUAACAUGAGUUUCACGUGGAUCCCAAUGAACUGUUGAUCAUAGAUUCUGUAUCCAACGUAAUAUUAUGGUUUAAAAAUAAAAUAAAUCAUGUUAAGACUUUGUAUCGAUACUUUAUGCAUUGACAAUCGUUUUCUUUGUGCUCAGGCUUUUUAUCCUUGUCGGUAAAGAAAGUUUAGUGGUCCAUCUAUUAGUUUACAUCUGCUUAGUCUCAUUGGAAUGAAACGAAGCUAAUUGUUUCCUUGUUUUAAAAAAUAAAUAACAAUAAUUUCUUGAAUAUUUAUGAACAAACAAAAGAAUUAUGAAUAAAAGUUUGUUUGUUAUGGAGGUAUUGUAAUUUUACAGUUAUUGUAAAAAAUAAAAAUUGUAAUAAUGAAGUAAAAAUUGAUGAUAUGUAGUAAAUAUAAUUUUUAAAUAAUAAUUUUGAUAAAAAUACUAAAAAAUAUUAUAAAAUUUUCAUUAUUAAAGUCUGAAUCAAAUUAUCUUAUUUUCUAAACCACAAUAAAGUGAUGAUAAAACCAUAAAUUUUUGUAUAAAUUUAUUUUUUAUAAAAUGAAAUGACAUAAAUUUAUUAGUUACAAAAUAAUAAAAAUAAAUUAUAUGAGAUAAAAUAUAUUUAAUUCAAUUAAUUUAAUUAUGUCACAUUAAUUUGUAUAAAAUAAUUUUUUACAAAAAUUAUAAUUCUAUCAUUACUUUUAUAAAUAGAAAACACCGAUAUAUACAGUAUGCUAUUUGUGUGAGUGUUCUAUCCAAUUUUUCCGCCCAAUAUGAUUACUCUUUUACUCUUAAAAUAAAAACCAAUGGACCCCACAGACGAGACUUCAUGUGGGCCCACUAAUCUUGAUGAUCACAUCUUUUUCAUGUAGAAAAGCACCCCCGUUUUACAACGACACCGUCUUUUCUUUGUCUUUCCUUUCGUUUUGGUCAGCCUCCACCAACACUUGAGCGCAUCUCCAAUGUAACACUAAAUUUAACAUUAAUUCACUUUUUAUAUUAUUUUUAGUGUAAAAUACUUCUCCAAUAUAAUACUAAAAUGGUGUAAUAAAUAGUAUUGUAUCAAAUAUGGUGCAAUACUAUUCAUUUGCACCAUAUUUGGUGUUAGGAAAAAAAAGUCUCAAAUAUCCUUAUUACUUUAUCUUAUUUGCAUAUAUGUCCUAUUUUAUAUAAUAUUUUAAGUUAUUAUUAUUAUUUUUGUUAUUUUUUUAAUUUCAUUUUUUAAUUUUUGAAUAUUAUACUAAUAUUUUAAAUAAAAAAUAUUCAACACAAAAAUUUAUAAUAAAAAUAAAAUGCCAAUAACAUUAAUUACUAGAUUACAUAUUACAAAAUUAAAAAUACAUAGUUAAAUUAAGGAUAAAGAGGCUCACAUUGCACUCCGAAAUGCACUAAUUGAUCAUUUAUGGGAUGAAUUUAGUAAUUCGAAUAACUAAAGUAUUACUGUUAUUGUAUUGUAUUUUUCUAUUUUAUUGUUGUUAUUACUGUUAAUGUAAUGUUUAAUUUUCAUAAUGUACUAAUUUAGUUAAUUAAAUACAAAUUUAAUAAUUUUCUAUAUUUUUUUGUUAAUCGAUAUAAAAUUACUUAUUACUUAAUUAUCUAUAUUAAUAGUAAUAUUUAUUGCGUUAAUUGAAUUAAUUCUUGAGAAUUAAAGGAAUAAAAAGAAGAAUAUUCUUUUUGGUGUAAAUGGGUUGGAGAUGAAAUAGUAAUUUGGUGUGAAAAAUGUACAUUUUUUGUGUUGGUGUUACACUAAAAUGGUGUUAUGCAUUUGAGAUGGCUUUAAUAGCACCCCCCCCCCCCCCAUUUUCUCUUACUCCUAUCGUAGUCCACGUGUCAAACGUCGAUUGCUUCUCCGGUUCUAAUCUAAAUUUCGUCAAAUGCAUGUACGAGAUGGGCCCCACGUCUACGGAGACCACACCGUCUAUUCUCUUUGUAAAGAGAAAAUAAAACUAUUUUUAAAAAAAUCUCUAAUUCACUCUAUCUUCUCGUGAUAAAUUGAAUUGAAUUAUUUUAUUUUACAAAAAAUAAAAAAUCAAAAGAAUUCAACUAAAUAUUCCUUUUGAGAAAUUAUAAAAAAAAAAUUAUAUAGUAGUGAACGUCCUUGCAUGAACAUGACCUUAAUUCAAUUUAUUAAACAUGCGUAUAUGUUAGUUGUUACUUUAAUAUACUUUUUCAUAUAGUUUACAAAAUGUAGCGCUAAUUUUCUUUUGGAUACCAAAUAGUGGAUGUGUAUGUUAGGUUGAAGUAAAUAUAAUAUAAUAAACUAACACUAUGUUGUAUCGUAUUUGGUAAAAUAUUUAGUGUUGAUAUCUUAUGACAAUAUUAUUCAAUCUUCAAUGAAGAUUAUUCAUUGUAUUAAACAAUUUUUAUGUAAUAUAUGUUAGAUUAAUUUUAUAUUAAUCUAAUAUAUUUGGGGCCACACAUGAAAUAAAUAAAAUGUGUGUGCUAUUAUUUAAUAAGCCAAGAAUUAAGUAAUCUAUUUGAAGUUAAUUAAAUGGUUAAGGGUAUAAUUAUUGUGGAUUAAAUGCAUAGAUACCAGAAUUUAAUCAUCACUUUAAUAAGGGGCUGAAGUGAUAAUUAUCAUAAAUAACGUGACUGUUGGGUUUUCUAAAAGAAAACCAAUAGUCACAAUAUUUAUAUAAAAGGGGUUAUGGUCCCCAAUCUCUCUAAUCAUCCUUUGUAAUUCUCUAAUCCUCUCAAAGAAAAUUCUAAACUCAAGAGAAAAGAGAAGAUUAGAAGUCCAUCUCCUACACUCAAGAACCACUACGAAUCACCAUGGAUUCAGGUACGCUUCCGCUUUCGUAUUUCUCAGUAAUUUAAUCUGGAUGUUAUGAAGAUUUAGAGGAUAACAAGUGGUAUCAGAGCCCCAUCCAUGAUUAGAUUGUUGAGUUAUUAGUUUCUGAUUAAUGGUUAUAGUCGAAUCAAACUGUUAAUGCAUGAUUCGGUUAUUGGGAAUAAUUAAUAUCAUAUUUGCUUGGAAUUUUGUAAUUGUUAUGAUUAGCCACGAUUUCGGUUUUAUUAAUUAUUUCGGUUCUGGUUUUAUAAUCUUUAAAUUAAAAUGAUUUAUAACAUAAGUUUAUUAUUGGUCUAACAUUGAUGAUAUGCUAAUUAAAGCAGGAAGUCACCAAAGUGAUAUCUCUUGUGUAGAUUAGUUUAUUUGAAGUGUUAGAUGUUUGUGUUCGUGUAAUUCCUGCGGAUGUUAGUCGACCCAAAGGAAGUUUAAUAUUUGGCCUAAUUACACACACACUUGUGAUGGUAAAUUUGUGACAAUUAUUAAGAUAACUUAAUGUGAGUAAUGUACUAAUCCAAAGAUUGGUUCAUUACUUGACAUAAUUUAUUGUCAAAAUUUGAUCAUUGCAACAAGAGUACCAUUUACAGUUAGUAUUAUAGUCCAAAGACUUGUUACUAAUGUUGUGCUAGGUAUCUUGAAAUGUUAUAAUUUAUUUUUUUAAAUUUUUAAAGAUUAUUAAUUGAGUUGUUUAAUGUGAGCAUUAUUUAUAUUUUAUUUUUGUUUUCUAUUCAGCUUUUCUGUCUGCUACUUCUAUAUCUACAAAUAUGAAUAGUGUCCCGGUUCUGAAUGGGGCUAAUUUUAAGGACUGGAAAGAGAAUAUGAUGAUUCUCUUAGGCUGCAUGGAUCUAGACUUAUCAUUCAGACACCCUAAGCCGAACGAACUCACUGAUGAUAGUACAUCUGAGGAUGUGUUGUACUAUGAGAAGUGGGAUCGAUCUAACAGGAUCAGUCUUAUGAUCAUGAAGCGUGGUGUUCCAGAAGUAUUUAGUUUAUCUAUCAAUUCUAAUGUUGUUGGAAUCGGUUUGCUUAAUGCUUAUGACAAUCUAUAUUUGCUAGACACUGUUUCAAGUUAUAAUGAAAACCUGCAUUUUAGUUCCACAGGUACAAAGCAUAAAUUAGAGAAAGAAAAUUCGGCCUCAUUAUGGCACAAACGCUUAGGUCACAUCUCUAAAGCUAGACUUGAGCGAUUAGUGUCUGAUGAGAUUUUAGGAUCUCUUGAUUUUACAGACCUUGAUGUUUGUAUUGAGUGUAUCAAGGGAAAACAAACCAAAAGUAAGAAAUUAGGAGCCUACAGAACAUCAGACGUCUUAGAAUUAAUUCAUACAGAUAUCUGUGGACCAUUCCCCACAGCUACUUGGAAUGGUCAACAAUAUUUCAUUACAUUCAUAGACGACUAUUCAAGAUAUGGCUAUAUAUUCCUGAUUCAUGAAAAAUCACAGUCUUUGGAUGUGUUCAAAACGUUUAAAGCCGAAGUUGAGUUACAACUCAACAAAAGGAUUAAAAAUGUCAGGUCUGACCGUGGUGGUGAAUACUACGGUAGCUAUGAUGGUUCAGGAGAACAGCGUCCAGGACCGUUUGCUAAAUACCUAGAGGAAUGUGGAAUUGUCCCUCAAUAUACUAUGCUAGGAUCGCCUAGUAUGAAUGGUGUAUCUGAGAGACGAAACCGCACUCUUAAGGAUAUGGUAAGUAGUAUGAUAAGUCAUUAUACUUUACCAGAAUCACUCUGGGGUGAAGCAUUAAAAACAGCAGCUUAUAUCCUAAAUCGAGUGCCAACUAAAGCGGCUGCUAAAACACCUUAUGAGCUUUGGACGGGUCGAAAGCCUAGUCUAAACCAUUUACAUAUUUGGGGAUGUCCAGCUGAAGCAAGGCCUUAUAGACCUCAUGAAAGGAAAUUGGAUUCCAAAACUGUAAGCAGCUACUUUGUUGGCUAUGCAGAGUGAUCAAGGAGUUUUAAGUUUUAUGAUCCCAGUACAAGGUCAAUUUUUUAGACGGGAACUGCUACAUUCUUUGAGGAUAUUGAGUUUGGGGGGAGAAAUCCAGUAAGAAACAUUGUCUUUGAAGAGGAAGAGGGAUCCACUGUUGCUUUUGACAAUGUACAAGUUUUAAUACCUGUCAUUGAUCAUGAAGUAAAUUCGGAUCCUCAACCAUCUGACAAUGUUGUUCAACCCCAGUAUCAACAUGAGAUGAUUAUUCCUGAGGAACACACUCAACAACCUCAAGAGCAUGUGCAAUUAAGACGAUCCACAAGAGAAAGGAGAAAUGCUAUUCCGGAUGAUUGUAUAGUAUUUCUUCAGGAACAUGAGGAUGAAACUAGAGUUAUGGAAGUUGAUCCAAUCAACUUUCAUCAAGCCAUGCAAAGCUCCAAUUCUCAUAAAUGGAUCGAAGCCAUGAAUGAAGAGUACAAGUCAAUGCAAGACAAUAAAGUUUGGGAACUUAUCUCAUUACCUUCUGGUACGAAACCCAUUGGUUGUAAAUGGAUAUUUAAAACCAAAAAGGAUUCAAAUGGUAAUGUGGAAAUGUAUAAAGCACGUCUUGUAGCUAAAGGCUUUACUCAAAAGGAAGGAAUUGACUAUAAAGAUACUUUCUCUCCGGUUUCUACGAAAUACUCUUUUAGGACAAUUAUGGCACUUGUUGCACAUUUUGAUCUUGAGUUACAUCAGAUGGAUGUUAAGACUGCUUUCCUUAAUGGUGACAUUGAGGAAACAAUUUAUAUGGUACAACCAGAAAACUUUGUGUUGGAAGACCCAAAGAAAAUGGUUUGUAAGCUAACCAAAUCCAUUUAUGGUCUUAAACAAGCUUCUCGUCAGUGGUACUCUAAGUUUCAUCAAAUAAUUAUCUCAUAUGGCUUUGAGGCAAAUGUUAUUGAUGAAUGUGUGUAUCACAAGUUCAAUGGGAGUAAACAUAUAUUCCUGGUUUUAUAUGCUGAUGACAUAUUGCUUGCCACAAAUGAUAUAGGCAUACUGCACGACACUAAGAGUUUUCUAUCAAAACAUUUUGAGAUGAAAGAUCUUGGUGAUGCCUCCUUUGUUUUAGGAAUCGAGAUACAUCGGGAUCGUUCUCGGGGUAUUCUAGGAUUGUCACAAAGGAACUAUAUCAAUAAAGUUUUAAAGAGGUUUGGCAUGCAAAACAGUAAACCAGGUGACACCCCUAUCGCCAAAGGAGAUAAAUUCAGCCUUAGUCAAUGCCCUAAGACUAAUCUUGAAAUCUAGGAAAUGGAAAAGAUUCCUUACUCUUUAGCUAUAGGGAGUCUUAUGUAUGCUCAAGUAUGUACGCGUCUAGAUAUUGCGUUUAUAGUUGGCAUGUUGGGCAGAUAUUUGAACAAUCCCGGGAUAGAUCAUUGGAAAGCAGUCAAACGGGUUAUGAGAUACUUACAGAGAAUAAAGGAGUACAUGCUCACAUAUAGGAGGUCGGAUCAGUUAGAGAUCAUUGGGUAUUCCGACUCUGAUUUUGCUGGAUGCCAAGACAGCAGAAUAUCCACAUCAGGCUAUAUUUACCUGUUGGCUGGUGGAGCAAUUUCUUGGAGAUCUGCCAAGCAGACACUUGUAGCUUCAUCGACUAUGGCAGCAGAGUUUGUAGCAUGUUAUGAGGCAUCCAAUCAAGGAAUAUGGCUGCGUAAUUUUCUCACUAGGCUGCACAUUCUAGAGGGUGUAGAAAGACCGCUCAAGAUAUUUUGUGAUAAUAAGUCAGCAGUUUUAUAUUCCAACAACAACAGGAGCUCUACAAAGUCAAAACACAUUGACAUUAAGUUCCUUGUUGUGAAGGAAAGAGUGCAGAGUGGACAAAUAUCUAUAGAGCACAUUGGGACAAACUCCAUGAUAGCGGAUCCACUCAUUAAAGGAUUACCACCUAAAGUCUUUCAUGAGCACACUGCUCGUAUGGGUGUGAUUUUCCUUGAGGAUAUUCAGAUUUAGUGGGAGUUUGUAUAAUUACUAAGUGUGACUUUUAGAUUUUGAUUAUAUUAUUCGGAUUAUUUUCUGUAGAAAUAAAGUAUUUCGAUUCCUUACACUCUGUUGGACUAACUUAAAUUUAGAUCUCAAUAAAGUAAAUUAGGACCAGUUGGGAAUAGACAUGUUUAGAUCACAUUGCAUGUAAUUUUCAUGCUAUGCAUCCACAAUUGAUCUAUGUCAUGCAACUAUAUUGAUAUAUGUGACCAUGGAUGGUUGAGUUACAAUUAAUGUAAAAAAGGCCGCUAUGAUCCUAUACCGAUGUGGUUAUUGAACUAGAUUAUUCAGAUAUACCCUAAGGACAUAAUAGCAAUUUUAUGAGCUCAUUAGGUUAGACACAUUUCAGUUUUCAUUUGUGGCCCAGUGGGAGAUUGUUAGAUUAAUUUUAUAUUAAUCUAAUAUAUUUGGGGCCACACAUGAAAUAAAUAAAAUGUGUGUGCUAUUAUUUAAUAAGCCAAGAAUUAAGUGAUCUAUUUGAAGUUAAUUAAAUGGUUAAGGGUAUAAUUAUUGUGGAUUAAAUGCAUAGAUACCAGAAUUUAAUCAUCACUUUAAUAAGGGGCUGAAGUGAUAAUUAUCAUAAAUAACGUGGCUGUUGGCUUUUCUAAAAGAAAACCAAUAGUCAUGAUAUUUAUAUAAAAGGGGUUAUGGUCCCCAAUCUCUCUAAUCAUCCUUUGUAAUUCUCUAAUCCUCUCAAAGAGAAUUCUAACCUCAAGAGAAAAGAGAAGAUUGGAAGUUCAUCUCCUACACUCAAGAACCACUACGAAUCACCAUGGAUUCAGGUACGCUUCGCUUUCUUAUUUCUCAGUAAUUUAAUCUGGAUGUUAUGAAGAUUUAGAGGAUAACAAUAUAGACCAUAUCUUUCGUUAUAACACAAGCUGUCAAGAAAGAUCGUCUCAACUUUGUAUUAGGAAUUUAUACUUAUAAGUACAUAGUAUAAUCUAAACCUUACACAUUAAAAUUGUUCCAUAACUUAGCUAUCAAUAAAAGAUUCAAUAAUUUUUUAAUUCUUGAUUGUAAAUAUUAGUAUAUUAUAACACAAUAUUAAAUUUACCUUAAUUUAUUAUUGUCACAUUAUAAAUCUAAAGAAUUAAUUUGACUUGGUAAAAUUAUUAAGCCAAAGAAAGGUAUAUCAAAUUUGGCUAGAAUUGUCUAUCAAAGUAAUAUAUACAUAUUUUGUAUAGAUACAAUAUGUAGCAAAAAAAAUGAAGAUUUUUGUAACAAACUUGACAAAUAUCUAAACUGCAAUGUGUCGGGAAAAUAUGCUCUUUAAAAGCGUAUGUGUUUAUUUAAUUGUAAUAAAUAAUUUUUCUGAUUAAUAAAAUAAAUGAAGUAUUUUGUUCAAGUAUCUCAGUUGCAUUAAUAUUUUGAGUAAAGUCCAUUUAAUCAUAUUAUAUGUAUUUAUGUGAUUACCAUGUGGAUUCACAGAAGACAUAAAUACAAGUUAUCUUAUGAUUAAAUACAUUUAGUUUGCAGUUGAUAAAUAAAGUUGGGCACUUAAUUUAGGUAUAGACUGUAAUAAAUUUAUUGAAUGAUUUGUCUUAAUCAUGUAUGAAUUUAUUGAUAUAGUACGACUACAUUGAACAGGAUCAUAUAUGAGAUUUAAUUAACUUUGUAAUAACUGUCAAACUUAUUAAAUCUCAUAGGUAUUGAUUUUACUGUAAUCUUAAUCUUGAGUUAGUUAUAAUUUCAUGAUUGUAAUUGUGAUUCCAUUUGAGUUACCAAUGGGCACGACACACACUUGUAGUUAAGAUUACCAAAUAUCUUGGUGGGAGCAAUUAUGAGUAUUGAAGUUAUAAAUUAACAAUAUAGAAUUUGUACAACACAUCUCUUGAUGAGUUUUCGGCACUUGAUCAUAGAAUUCUAUAGUCAGAGUAUGUCAACAUAUUUAGUAUGUUAAAAAUGAUCAUUAUAGAAAACCAAUAUGUAUCAAGGAACAAUAUGUAAUUAAAUUGAUUGGACAGUUGAAAUAUCGAUUUAAUUAAUGAUGUAGUACAAAAGAUUAUGCAGUAAAGAAAUCAAUGUGGCAUGGGUCGAAUUAUUAUUCGAAAACACUAUCCUAGAUAGCAUACAAUUAUGAAAGUCAAUUCUAAUCUUUUAGUGGAGUAGAUUUGGAAUUAAAUAAUUGGACUAGUUUAAUUACAAGCUUAAUUAUUAUAGCCACUAUUGUAUGUACCCAUAUGACCCCCAAGUUAACUCAUUUAAUUGACGGCGCCGCUACUGGAUUAAUAAGUAAGAUAACUAGCUAUUUGAGUUAAAAAUCUAAAUAUAUUAUUUAGUGGGAGGCUCCAUUUAAUAUGUUUGUGUGUAAGGGGCCUUGUGUUAUUUUACAAAGUAGGCCCCUAUAACAAGAACAAGUAACGCCACUUUUGAUUUUAUUUUUUUAAUUUAAAUCAAAUUUAAUUUAAUAGAAUUAAAAAUUAUAUAAAUAUAGAGCUAGGGUUUCCACCAAAUAGAGAUAUAAAAGAGCUUGUUUUCCCUAAAAGGAGAAAAAAGCCACAAUAUACAAAUUAGAGAAAAAAUUUAUUUUUUCUCUAAUUUUGAGAGAAAUAUUUUCUCUUGCUAGUUGCUUGUGCUCACACAUCAAGUACAUAUCAAACUUGAGUCAUAACCUAGAAGAUUAUUGGUGACGGAUCGUGAUCUAACAAGAUUGGUGGUGAUGUAUCGUGAUCUAAUAUGAGUGGUGGUGACGGAUUGUGAUCUGCGAGCCUAGAUUCCUUCAGUGAAAAAGCAAAGUCAAAUUGUCAAGGUAUGAUUUUCUAGAUUACGGAUUCUUAUAUAUUGUAUGAGAUUGGUCUUAAAAGUUUUUUUUUAAAAGAAAAACUGAAUUUUAACCUACACAAUGUUAAUGGUAAAUAAUUAAUCUCUUUUAGAAUCCAUUUGCUUUUAGGCUAAAUCAAAAGAAAGACGAUAAAUUCACGGAACUUCUGCCUAAAAAAUGCAAAUUAUGCAAAUGAUCAAAAUUGGAUAAAUAACAAACAAACAAGGUCCCGUGCAUUUAAUGAGAACUUGAGCUUUUGCUUUAUCUCAGCAACAAGUUCAGUUUUAUGUGAUUUAAGAUUAAACUAUUAAUCAAACUACAAAAUUAUAUCAUUUAAGAAAUUAUAUUUAAGUAUUUACUUAAUUAAAGAUAGUUCGAGUGACUUGGAUUUAAAAUUUUAGAUAAGACUCUAAUUUAUCUCUCAUAUGAGAAUGUUAAUUCACUAAUCACCAUGUGGCAUUUUCUUUAAGGAUUUUGAGUUGUUUCAUGGCUGUGACAGUACAAUUUAAAAAUAACAAAAACAGAAAUAAGUAUAAUGUAAAUAAGACCACAUCUAAGCCGUUCAUUCAUAUAAGAAUAUGGAUUCAACUAUCACGUGGAUGAAAUAAAUUAAAAAAGAAAUAGAUUUGUUAACAUUGCAGCUACAAGUUGACUUUAAAUUUCUAAUGAAUCCAUCGUAGUAUUCUUUGUUUGCUUAUACUCAUAUAAAAAUUUAAGUUAUUAGAUACAAUAAUGUUAGAGAAGCCAACAUUUAAGUCACAACUUAAGUCCCAGUUAUAUGUGUCUCUCAUCUGUUGGAUGGUGGAUUCUAUAGUUAGUAAAAUUACUUAACUGCCAUCCAAUAAAUGAAUGCCACAUUAGUUGGGACUUAAAUUGAGACUUAAAUGUUGGGAUACCUAUCAUUAUUAUACUAGAUAAGGAUCUAACGUUAACAUUUGAAGUUAAUAAUUUCAUAAAAUUGUGUAAAUUCGAUAACAAAAACAUUAAAUUCAAAUAAAAGUAAAAUUUACAUGUUGUUCAGCUGAUGUUUGUUGAAGGCAGCAAAAAUAAAUACCUACUCUAAAUAAAUUGUUUAUAGUGAUUGAGCAGGGUCGUGUCCACAGAGAUCGGUAAUUAUUUAAAUCCUUUUAAAAUGUAAAAUGCAAAAUGGGGGAAUUGUUGACAAUAAUAAGAAUCAAAUUAAAAUAACAAGAAUGCAAAUUAAAAUUGUAAUUCAAAUUAGGGAAAGCUCUGGUUGAAGGAAUUAACUCAGCUUGAUUCGACUACUGAUCAUUGAUUCAAAUAUAAACCAUUACUACUUAUGAAUAGACCGGUUAUAGCUACUGAGACCCUCUAAUAGCCAAUCUCUCCUCAACUAUUCGAUAACCAAGGUACGACCGUUGGUUAUUUUUUUAAUCAAUAGACAACCCUAGAUACGAUCAUAGGAUUUAAUCAAUUGACAGCCCGAAAAACCAGAGAGACCCAAAUCCUAAUCAACAAACGCAUACGAUGGUUCAUUUAAAUUAGAUUGUUUAUUCUCAUAACACAACGCACUACUAUGCUAUUUGUCACAAACAUUAAAAUCUUCAUACGAUGAAUCCUUUAAUUGACAAUAGAUUAAGUUGAUAAUUAAAUAGUGGCCAAUUAUAUAAUUAACAAACAUAAUCAUGACAAUAAUUCAGAGAAUAAACAAAUAUCCAAAAAGUAAUAAAAUAAUUAAAGCAUAAGAAAGAUCUCACAGUAGUGAUGAAUCAAAGCUUCAUUAACCUUCAACCAGAAUAAUAAGUUUAGUUCUUCAUAGAGAGAAGAGAAAAAUUUAGAUCUAGGAUUUCUUUCAUUUUAAAAAUCUCUCCCUUUUGACAAUAGAUUCCCCCUUUUUAUUCUCUCUCUCUCUCCUCUCCUCUAGAGUUCUUUUUGAAAUAAAAUACUAAUAUCUAAAAUAUUAAAUUCGUAAUUACAAAAAUAACCAAAAAUACAAAACACGUUCAACUAAAAACUACAGGUUCGUAGUUGAUAGCACGCACCCACACCUUAUCAACAAAGUUCUUCUGAAUCUCAUAAUUUCUCCAAGAAAACAAUCAUCCUCAAACAUCAUCUUGUAACUCAAUUUUAGCACCAAUCAAUAGAAUUGCACCUACAAAAAUAAAACACAAGUAAAUCACUAUUAUUAAGUGCAAAACAUCGAUAUUAAGGGAAGUAAACAAUGUAAAACUAAUGUAUAAAUUGCACUCUAACAUCAGCUAAUCUUGGAAUGACAUAGUACUCGUACAGAGUUAUAGUGUUCAAUACUCACACGCCUCUUCUUUUCCCUACAUUCCUUCAUAUCAUGUCUAACUCAAUUCAUUUUUUUUUUAACAUCAAUAAUAAUUUUAUCGAAAUAAAUCAAUCAAAAAGGUAACUCCAAAUAUCUCCUUCACUUUUGCUUCUUCUUAUUUUGAUCGACUCUGACGAUAUACUAAAGCCUCCGUUUUUUUCAGUCAACGUUUUGCUUCAAGAUUUCGUUUUACCUUCCUUGAAUAAUUUGCUUUAAAAUUCUUUUCUUUGCUGAAAAUUGAUACAAUUUUCACUUCAUUUUUUCUUAAUCUUGUACCCAGAUUUGUUGUUUUUGUUUAGAGUUUUUUUUUUUAAUUUUUACGCGGAACUUAGCAUGACUUUGGUUACACCUUUAUAUUAUUUUAACAUAUAAUUAGUCUAAUUUAUUGAUUUAUUGAUUUAUUAUUCUUUUAAAUAUGGUUUGAGACUUUUGAUGUUUCAUUAUUUAUUGAUCACGUGUGAUACAAUGGCUUUAAUAAAUAUGGCAUUGUAAAGUUUAAAGCUUUUUGCAUGUGAAUGACUGGCUAUGUGUUACACUUUCAUUGAUGUUUAGAUUCAUGUAUGUGGUGGUCUCUGAUCUGGGUAAACGUUAGAUUUUAAUUAUAUGGCAUGGUUCAUUUGACCAAAUUUUGUUGUUACUUGAACUGAUGAACACGAAUUUCGAAGUGAAUAUGUGUGUUUGAUUGAUUGGAUUUUGUAAGAAUCCUUUGUAGAAGUAUUUUAAUCCCACAAGGAGUAUGAUUCGACAAAUAGCUUUGGGAAUGGUAUUGGUUCUAUUCUUGUUUGUUUAUUUAUAUAAGAACUUUGAUGCAACCUUCAUAUCCACUAUUGGAUUAGUUUAUAGCAUAUCCACUAUUGAUUGUUGCAUUUAGAUGUUUUUUGUUACUUCCAUUCUUGAUGCCUAUCACAUGUCGGUUAAAGAGCAAACAUUGUACAUGUUCUGGACUGAUCAGUGCUCUUUUGAUUAGUGCUCUUUCGUAUAACGGGUUCGUGAAUGAUGUUCACUUUCUUAUUUGAUUUUGUUUAUGCAGUUCCUGUAGCAAGAUUGUGUAAUUUGAUUAUUCGGAUACUUCCAUAGCUGAUGGCUUCGCCAGAUAUUGAGUCUCUCUAGCUUUGUGUCGCUAGUGAAUCCUUCUGUGGGUCGUUUAACAUACGCGUGGAGGAGGGGAAUACAGCCGUUAUUUUUCAUGGUCAUUUAACAAUAUGAUUCACCUAUAACUGUAGUAUACCAAGCCACCCAUAUGGACUAAAAUGAUGAAUCCAAAACUUGAGCAUGUUAAACGACAGCGUUUAGAAUGUGUUUAAUAUACUCAGGAGUCACCAGCAUGACAUGUGAUUUACUUAAGUUCAAAACGGCAGGAGCUUAUGACGUUUUGGUCAAAGGCUUAAGUGAAACAUGUGGAGUGCACGUGGGGUGGAGAAUCAAAUUAGUUAAGAAGCUGUUAGUCUAGGUGGCGGAAAUCUAUGUUUUCUGGGUUCGUUAUCAGCUAUUAUAUAAGCUGGUUAAAGGAGCAGUUUCAACAAUGAUUUGAGAGCGUGAUAGAGAGAGUUAUGAUAGAGAGAAAGCUUAGUCUUGAUCCUAGUAGUUAGCUCUUGUAUUACUCUGUAAAGAUUACGUGAAUCAUCAAUAAAGCUUGCUCUGUGGGCUUCUCCCGUGGAUGUAGAUUGUGCUCAUUUGCACAAUCGAACCACGUAAAUCUCUUUCUUUCUUUUGCAUUUGAUUAACUUCUAAUUCUUGUUCUGGUGUGUUCUGAUUACAACCAUUUUGUUAAAGGUUUUGUUAACUCUAAAAGCUUGAUUGUUUAGGAUCUUAGCAUCUCGUUGGUCUUAUUUGUGAUCUUAGGUAGUGCUUGGGCUGCUAAUCGAUUUCUAUAGCACCCAAUUCACUACACUUAGUAUCAGAGCUGAGUUAAAAAAUCAAGAUCCUUGUAUGGCUACUCCAAAGAUCGACCUUGAGAAGUUUAACGGAAAAAAUGACUUCAACAUGUGGAAAGUAAAAAUGGAGGCCUUGCUGGUUACUCAAGGCCUUGGUGAUGCAAUCCACCCAGUGACCAAGAAGGAGGGUAAAGAGUUCUCCACAUCAAAGACUCCUGAGCAGGUUGCUAAGAUUGAUAGAAAGGCUAGAGGCACAAUAAUCUUGAGUCUUGCAGAUUCUGUAAUAAGGGAGGUAGCAAAAGAACCCAUUGUAUCUGAGUUAUGGGCCAAACUAGAGAGUAUCUACAUGAAAAAAUCCUUGGCAAAUAGGUUAUACAUAAAGAAGAGGAUGUUCACAUUAAAAAUGAUGGAGGGCACAUCAUUAGAUGAUCAUCUUGAUGAGUUUAACAAAGUGUGUAACACUUUGGAAACUAUUGAUGCAGCCCUUGAUGAUGAAGAUAAAGCCCUUUUGUUGAUAAGCCCCCUGCCAAAGUCAUAUGGGAAUUUUGUUGAUGCCUUGAUAUAUGGUAGGCAGACACUAUCUCUAGAUGAAGUAAAAUCAGCACUCAACACAAAGGAACUGCAAGGUAAACAAGAUCAUCUGGGAGUUGAAUCAAGGCAAGGUUUAACAACAAAAGCCAAAUCAGAUGGCAAGAAAAAGAAGCAAGGCAAGUAUAAAGAAAAGCCAAAGGAUCUGAAGUGUUUCUUGUGUCACAAAGAAGGACACUUGAAGAAAGAUUGUCCAGAAAAGAUGCUUAAGAAGAAAGGGCAGAAUGGAGGUAAAGCAGUAGCUAAAGAAGAAGGCUAUGAAUCUGCUGGAGUGUGCAUUGCCAUAGACAGCAAAGAUAAAGGUAAAUGGGUUCUUGACUUAGGGUGCACUUUUCAUAUGAGCCCAUAUAAGAGUUACUUUACAGAUUAUUAUGAGUAUAAUGGUGGUAGAGUAAUGAUGGGGAAUAAUGUUGUGUGUAAAAUCAUGAGAAUUGGCAAUGUUAAUCUUAAACUACAUGAAAGAACCAUUAGGGAGCUGAAACAAGUCACGUAUGUGCCUGAGUUGAAAAGAAAUCUGAUUUCUUCAGGAAUGCUUGAUCAGAUGGGGUGUAGUGUUAGGAUUGAAUCAGGAGAGCUGAUGAUUGUCAAGAAUUCACAGGUUGUUAUGAAAUGUAGCAGGAAGAAUAGGGUGUUCAUCUUAGAUGGGGAUGUAGUUAUUGGUGAAGCCAGAAUGUCAGUAGCUGAUACCAUUGAUAAAAUCAAAAUAUGGCACCUAAGAUUAGGGCACAUAGAUGAAAGGGGCCUUAAAGAGCUUGAAAAACAAGGUGUAUUAGGGAAUGAUAAGCUUGGAAACCUAGACUUCUGUGAAGAUUGUGUACUAAGCAAAGCAACAAGGUCUAGCUUCAAAAGAUCAGUACAUAAGUCCACGGAUAAGCUGGAGUAUGUUCAUUCAGAUUUGUGGGGGCCUGGUCAGCAGAUAUCUCUAGGGGAUAAUAGUUAUUUCCUAUCAUUCAUUGAUGAUUACUGUUGAGUGUUAGAAAAUGCAUAUUUAUAAAGGAGAAAACCGUCAUUUUACAUUUCAAGUCUUACUAACAACCCUUACUUUUAUGUAUUUAACCUUCUUGUGAUUUAAUUACAUGUGUUUUAUUUUAAUUAAGUAUUUUAUGUAUUUUAGGGGCAUUAUAGUCAUUUCACAAUAAAGGAGAGAUCAGACGGUAAAACGGACAUCACUUUUGAACUCAGGACGGUCAAAAACCUUAGGAGGAGCAUAAAAGGAAAAAUGGCACUAUUCACAUGUACGGUACUAUUCACGUAUACGGUACUGUCUAUGUUACUGUUCACGACACUAUUCACAUAGACGGAUCGAUGACGUGGCAUUGACCGAUGAUGUGGCAUUGACUGAUGAGGUGUCACGAUCCUGUUGGGCUAAAAUUCUUAUGUAUUGUUGAUGGUGACGUGGCAGCAUAUCAGUGGACGAAAAAUCUCGUGUACGGUGCAUGCAUCACACAGGAUUAUUUUCAACCAAACCGCGUUACUGUUCAUCCGGGUCAAACCGCGUUACUGUUCAAAGUCGGGUCAAACCGUGUUACUGUUCAUCCGCGUGGUCAAACCGUGGACUGUUGACUGAUGACGUGGCGCAAUCCUGAGCGUCCAAACUGCUUUUAAUCCGAUGGCCAUGAUUUACUCCAUGUAUCUAUAAAAAGGGGGCCUCCCCCCCCUAAUUUGAUAUCUCUGAAUCCAUUUUUGGGAUCCAUUUUCUGUAAUUCCUUCUCCAUCUUGUAUUUUCUUUGUAUUUUAAUAAAUUUCCAUUUUGCCCCUAGUUCAAUUAUGAGUAGCUAAUUUCCUUUCAAGCUUGGGUUGAAGGUGAAGUCUCAACAUGUGUCAUGGGCUUUAUUUGGUAAAUUUAUUUUCUUUUUCCCUCUAGUUUUUGUGGAUGAUUUGACUUAUCGUCGACAAAUAAUACUGAUCUUGUCUAGAUACCGCCUUGGUUACACCGGCUCUCUAGUAUAAGGUUAUUAUUAUUUGGCACGAUAAGUCCUUAGCACCAUAUUGAUUAGAGCAUGGUUCAUGAGGUGUGGAUUCCCCCCUCAUGAUUUAAUUGGUAUUAAUAAGGAAUAUUUAGCCCAUGAUGCAUGUUGAUACGGAUCCAGAUACCCAAGUACGUCAAUUUAAUCGAUUUUCUCUAUAAUUUAUUCUCGCCAUUGCAAUUCCAAUUUUAGCAUAUUUUAAAUCACUUCCACCACAAAUCCAAUCACCCAUUUACAAAAUUAAUUCUACACACAAUUAAAAUCCACCUCCUCGUGGGAUCGACACUCGUCACCAUUAAUCUAUACUACAAUAGAUUCGUGCGCUUGCGAGUACAUUAAAAUUUGCACAACAAGUUUUUGGCGCCGUUGCCGGGGAGGUAAGUAAUUUUAAUUCAUAGAAUUAAUUUUUGUGAAUAAUUUAUUUUAAAUUGUUUUCUUGUAUUUUUUAUUAAAAAAAAAAAGUGAAUCCGCAUUUAGAGGUUAGUAUUUCUUUUCUUUUUCUCUUCUUUAAAAUUCUGUAAUUUAAUUUUCAAUUUAUUUUUUCUUUGUAAUUUUUGUUUAUUUUAUUAAUUUAAUUUUUAGUUAAUUUAUUUCACGUAUUUGUUUUUGUGUAUUUUUAUAGAAAGGUUGUAAUAGCGCAAUAAGGUUAGUAUCGUAAUUUUUCCCUCUUCUUUAUUUUUAUUUGUUUUGUUCCCAUCUUUAUUUUUAUUUUAUUUGUUUUGCAUGCAUGGUCGUAGGUCAUUAUUACCUAAUCUUGAACCUAUAGACAUUGAACUAGAAAAAACACUUCGCACACAAAAGCACAUUAAAAAUAAAUUUGGAAUGGAUUUACAAGCACCACAGGAGAGGCCAUUUAAGGACUAUUUUAGUCCCUUAGCUAAUUUGAGCACAUCAUGUAUAAGAUACCCAAAUGUAGCUGCUAGGAGUUUUAAAUUAAAACCUAGUGUGCUAAAUUGUCUCCCCACAUUUUAUGGCCUAGAAAAUGAGGACCCAUAUAAUCAUUUGAAUGAUUUUCAUGCUAUUUGUCAAACAUUUAAAUAUCAGAAUUUUUCAGAUGAUGAUGUAAAACUUAGACUAUUCCCAUUUUCUUUAAAGGAUAGAGCUCGUUCAUGGUUAAAUACGUUGCCUGCUAAUAGCAUUUCAUCAUGGGAACAAAUGGUAACUAAAUUUUUGAAUAAAUAUUUCCCAGUGCAUAAAACCAAUGCUAUUCGCAGGGAAAUUUCAGAGUUUACACAAAGAGAUGACGAGCAAUUUUUCGAAACGUGGGAGCGAUUCAAUGGGCUACUCUUGAAGUGUCCACAUCAUGGGUACGAAAAAUGGCACCAAUGCCAAUACUUUUUGGAGGGAUUAUUGCCGAAUGUGCAAGAAUGGCUAAUGGCAACAAGUGGAGGAGAGCUAAUGUCAAAAAGCGCAACAGAGAUUUGGGAAUUCUUCCAGCGACAAGCGGAUAAUUCUCAACAACGGAGUCGAUCACUCAGGAAUACUAGAAGAAUUAAGGGAGUAAAUGAGGUUCAAAUUGGCGAGUCAACUUCGGGAAUCAAAGAAGUCAAGGAGAUGGUUGAAGGUCUCGCUCGACAAAUAGCAUCGUUAUCGACUGUUAAAUCAACAGAACCACAUGACCAUGACUCAUACUCUGAUCAAGCCAAUGCCAUAGGUGUAAUGAGAAAACCAUCGAAUUACAACCCAUACUCCAACACAUAUAACCCUGGAUGAAGAGACCACCCCAAUUUUUCAUGGUCUCAAGGAUUCCAACAGAAUGGACCAGCAGCUCCAGCUCCAGCUCCACAAAUUCCUCAAGUUCCUCAAGCCUCUCAGCCCCCAUUUAGACCAUUCAAUCAGAACCAGAACUACUCUCAACCCAGAUCAUGGGAGGAUUCAUUCCAGAAUUUCAAGAAUGCUACUCACUCUACGAUUGAGCAACAGAACCGCACCAUUGAUGGACUACGAAAUGAAUUGAGAGCGGGCUUUAACUCACAAGCCCAAUUAGUUUCAAGCCUCGAGAAGGUGGUGGGACAACUUGCUUCUUCAGUUCAGACCUUGGCAAUGACUGUUGAGAAAGGAAAAUUUCCAAGUCAACCAGUGCCUAAUCCUAAAGGAGUACAUGAAGCAAGUACCAGUUCACCACAACAGCAUGGAGAGGUCAAAGCAAUCAUGACCUUAUGAAAAGGAAAAGAAGUCGACAAUAAAGUGGAGAUGCCGGUGACAAAAGAAAAUCAAAUUGUACCUGUGAAUGCUGAGGACUCACCACCGGAGGAGAGAGAAGAAACCAACCCACGAGAAUAUAUUCCGAAAGCUCCAUUUCCUCAAAGGUUAGUUAAAGGAAAAAAGGGAAAAUCCACAGGUGAGAUUCUCGAAAUCUUCAAACAGGUAAGUGUUAACAUCCCUUUACUUGAUGCUAUUAAACAAAUUCCAUCUUAUGCCAAGUUUCUUAAAGACCUUUGUACUAAAAAGAGAAAUAUGCAUGUUCAAAAGAAGGCAUUUUUAACAGAAAACGUUAGUUCUAUACUCCAACAUAAAAUUCCUUUAAAAUGCAAAGACCCAGGCUCCCCCACUAUCUCAUGUAGUAUAGGGAACCACACAAUUGAGAAUGCUUUGUUGGAUUUAGGAGCUAGUGUAAAUCUAUUGCCUUACUCAGUAUUUUUGAAACUUGGACUGGGAGAAUUACACCCAACUCCAGUGGUGUUACAGCUUGCAGAUCGGUCCACGAAAAUACCUCGUGGUAUUGUGGAGGACGUGCUUAUUCAGGUAGACAAGUUUUAUUUUCCUGUUGAUUUCAUUGUAAUUGACACUCAACCAAUACAUGACUCAAGGAAGCACAUCCCCAUUAUUCUAGGCCGACCUUUCUUGGCAACUGCAGAUGCUCAUAUUCAAUGUAGGAUCGGAAAUAUGCAAUUGUCCUUCGGCAACAUGACUAUGGAGCUAAAUAUUUUCAACAUUGCCAAACAACCUCACAGUGCAGAUGAUGGAAUUGUUGAUGUGGAUUUAAUAGAAACAAUAGUCGAUAAUACUUUUAUUUCAAACCUUAGUGAUGACCCUUUACAGACAUGCUUAACUCACUUUGGUUUGGAUUUUGAUAUUGACAGAUCAGUCAAUGAGGUCAAUGCUCUACUUGACUCAGCACCAUCCAUGGACACUAAUAAAUGGAAGUCAAGAGUUGAACAACUAGCACCAUCAGAAAAGAAACUCAUCCCAUCAUUAGAAUCACCACCAAAACUCGAGCUCAAACCAUUACCCAACACUUUGGAAUAUGCGUUUUUGGGAGAAGAAAGCACUCUGCCGGUAAUCAUCUCAUCAUCCCUCAAUGACGAACAAAAAGGUAAGUUGUUGGAUGUUUUAAAAGAGCACAAAGGAGCAUUAGGAUGGACCAUAGCGGACAUAAAAGGUAUAAACCCAGUAGACUGCAUGAUUACAUUCACCUUGAUGAAAAUGUUAAAUCUACUAGGGAAAUGCAACGUCGGUUAAAUCCUAAUAUGAAAGAAGUUGUUAGAACUGAAGUCCUUAAGCUAUUAGAUGCAGGUAUCAUUUACCCAAUUUCUGAUAGUUCAUGGGUCAGUCCUGUACAAGUCGUCCCUAAAAAGUCAGGAGUCACAGUAGUUACCAAUACUGAUAAUGAAUUGAUACCAACUAGAGUAACUACAGGAUGGCGUGUAUGCAUUGAUUAUAGAAAGUUGAAUUCUGUCACACGUAAAGACCAUUUUCCUUUACCAUUUAUUGAUCAAAUGCUUGAUAGAUUAGCAGGCCAUGAAUUUUAUUGCUUUCUAGAUGGCUACUCAGGAUAUAAUCAGAUUCCCAUAGCACCAAAAGAUCAAGAGAAGACCACUUUCACUUGCCCUUUUGGCACAUUUGCAUAUAGGAGAAUGCCAUUUGGAUUAUGUAAUGCACCUGCUACAUUUCAACGAUGCAUGUUGAGCAUUUUUUCUGAUAUGGUUGAACGAUUCCUUGAAGUCUUUAUGGAUGAUUUUUUUGUCUUUGGUGACUCGUUUGAUCAAUGUUUACAUCAUCUAACGCUAGUUCUGCAGAGAUGUACCGAGAAGAGCUUAGUCUUAAAUUGGGAGAAGUGCCAUUUUAUGGUAAAACAAGGUAUUGUUCUCGGUCACAUCAUUUCGAGUAAAGGUAUUGAGGUUGACAAAGCCAAGGUAGAUCUCAUUUCUAAUCUUCCUCCACCUAAAACAGUCAGAGAAGUAAGAUCUUUCCUUGGGCAUGCUGGUUUCUAUAGACGUUUCAUUAAAGAUUUUAGCAAAGUUUCUAGACCCUUAUGCAAUCUACUUGCUAAGGAUGUAUCUUUUAUCUUUAAUGAUUCAUGUCUAAUGGCGUUUGAAAAAUUAAAGCAGUUGUUGACAUCAUCACCCAUCAUUCAGGCCCCAAACUGGAGCUUACCAUUUGAGCUCAUGUGUGAUGCAUCUGAUUAUGCAGUAGGAGCAGUAUUAGGACAAAGAGUUGAUCGAAUUCCCCACGUUAUUUACUAUGCUAGUAUGACAUUGAAUGAUGCUCAGUUGAAUUAUUCAACUACUGAAAAAGAAAUGCUAGCAAUAGUGUUUGCAUUAGAGAAAUUUCGAUCUUAUCUCAUUGGUUGUAAAAUAAUUAUAUUCACAGAUCAUGCUGCUCUUAAAUAUCUUCUCACAAAGAAAGAUGCAAAAUCUAGACUAAUUCGUUGGGUGUUACUUUUGCAGGAAUUCGACUUGGAAUUCAAGGAUAAGAAAGGCACAGAAAAUGUUGUGGCGGACCAUCUCUCUCGUCUCCAUUUUGACACAAUUACAGAGCCAUUAAUAUUAAAUGAGUCAUUUCCAGAUGAACAAUUAAUGAGUGUGGAAGUAUUACCUUGGUAUGCUGAUAUAAUUAAUUAUCUUGUUACAGGUAAAUUUCCAGAGCAUUGGACCAAGCAAGACAAGGCUAAAUUCUUUGCGGAAAUAAAGAAUUUCUUUUGGGAUGACCCAUAUUUGUUCAAGUAUUGUGCAGACCAAAUUGUUAGACGAUGUGUCCCUGAAAGUGAAAUUCAGAAUAUCCUUUCAUUCUGCCAUGAACAGGCUUGUGGAGGCCAUUUCAGUGCUAAGAAAACAACGACUAAAGUUUUACAAUGUGGUUUUUAUUGGCCAACUAUAUUUCGAGAUGCUUACACUUUCUGUUCUUCAUGUGAUAGGUGUCAACGAAUGGGGAGCAUUACACGAAGGAACAUGAUGCCACUAAAUCCAAUUUUAGUGGUUGAGAUUUUUGACGUAUGGGGUAUCGACUUCAUGGGACCCUUUCCUCCGUCUUUUGGUCAUCAAUACAUAUUGGUUGCUGUUGACUACGUAUCGAAAUGGGUGGAAGCAAUUCCAUGCAGAACCAAUGAUCACAAAGUGGUGAUAGGAUUUUUGAAAAGCAACAUUGUUUCACGCUUUGGAUUCCCUCGAGCGAUAAUCAGUGAUGGUGGUGCCCACUUUUGUAACAAAGCAUUCAAAGCUCUUUUGACAAAGUAUUCAAUCACACACAAAGUGGCGACCCCGUAUCAUCCGCAAACCAGUGGCCAAGUUGAGAUCUCCAAUCGAGAAAUCAAGCACAUAUUAGAAAAAACGGUGAGGCCAGACAGAAAAGAUUGGUCAUUAAGACUUGAUGAUGCAUUAUGGGCAUAUAGAACGGCUUUCAAGACCCCGAUUGGGAUGUCACCCUACAGGCUAGUGUAUGGAAAAGCUUGCCACCUACCUGUGGAACUCGAGCAUCGUGCAUAUUGGGCCAUCAAGAAAUUCAACUUUGACAUGCAGCAAGCCAGCUCAGAAAGAAGAUUACAGCUGGUAGAACUUGAAGAAAUUCGCAAUGAUGCAUACGAAAAUGCCAAGAUUUACAAGCAACGAAUGAAAGUCUUCCAUGAUAAGCAAAUUAUGAGAAAAUCGUUCACUCCAGGUCAGAAAGUGCUUUUAUUCAAUUCUCGCUUGCACCUAUUCCCAAGUAAGUUACGCUCUCGUUGGUCUGGCCCAUUUAUUGUACAUACUGUUUUUCCACAUGGGGCAAUUGAAAUUAAGGACCCAAAGAACGGUGUCACGUUUAAAGUUAAUGGUCAAAGAUUAAAGCCAUAUCUAGAGUACCAACCACAUGGAGAAAACAUCGAAAUAAAUUUGAGUGACCCACCAAAUUUGAAUUGAUUUUUUUUUCUUCUUUUCGUUGAUUUGAUUUUUCUUUAUUUCUUUUUAUUAUUAUUCUUUUGCUAAUUGAAAUUGUUUUUGCAUAAGUGUGUUUAUUUUACCAUUAAGUUUUCUCGUAUCAUUUUUAAUCAUGAGUCUCAUACUUAGACCGUUCCUCCUGAACAUUCUUAAACCACUUCAACGUGUCAAAACUCAUCUCAAAAGGCAGAUUCAAUUUUGUAAAACACAACGCAUUUGGGCUCUACAACCACCAGAGUUAGUAGCCUAUGUUGAGGGUUUAGAACGCCAACUCAGAGACAUUGAGAGAAGUGUUUACGACAUCCAGUUGGAGCUUGAGGUAAAUUCAAUAAGAGGACGAUUUUAAUUUUCUUUGUGUGUUUUAAUUUGUUUUUCUAUUUGUGUGCUUUAGUUUGUUACCCCGGUGAAGUGGCGGAUAACGGUACUCCGUGACAAUCAAGUCAGUUACUUCAGUUUCCCAUAAUAACUGAUAUUCUGAGGCAAAGGUAUGGACAGAAACGAGAUUCUAGCGAAGCUUCACAAGCGAUUCCCUUCACUUCCUCAGAAUGCCCUCCUUACAAUCUAUAAAGCCCGGUCCGAACGCAUGCGAUUGCUCAUGAAGAAUAACAUACCUGCUGACAUCCGUUGGUUAAUCGAGGCUAAAGUACGAUCGGCAGGUGAGUUACCUCCAAAAUUUAUUGCAUUCAUGCCUAGUUGUGGUAAAGGAAAUUAUGCAAGAAAACGACGAGCUCGAAGAAUUUCUGUUGCUUGUCAUAAGUGUGCCAGAAUGAGUUGCGAUAGAAACCCAUGUUCUUUAGGAAUGGUGUCUGAUAACAGGGAAGAUAAGAUUCAAUUCAUUAGGGACGGCUUGAAUAAGGAGUCAUUGGAUGAUAUCCUUUUGUCUCUUGAAACGCAUCCCAGUGGAUAUGUGCAAGGAGCGAUUCUCCAGUUAUGGCCAUUAUUCCAGAAAGAGCAUACACGAUAUAGUCUCGGGAAUCUGACUAUAAACGACCCUGUUUGCCAGUUUAUAAGAAAACUGGAUGGGAAGCCCAUCCUCGACCCAUAGAGGGCGUUCAAGCCGUUUCUGGACGUAAAACCAGAGGAAGAUGUGAGCCACAGUCGCAACUACGUGUAAAUAUCAUUUUACUUUACUGUUAUUUUAUUUCAUUUCACUGUUGUUUUAUUGUUUGCAUUAUUGUCUUUAAUAAUUUUAUUACUGUUUGCUUUUUCCUUUUUACUGUUUCCUUUUUGACUCGCAAGCCAUGUGCUUCACGCGUUAUUUCACACUGACAUGUUACCUCAUUCACAGCUGUGACCCACUAUCACCAAGAUUCUUAAAUGUGAUUUAUCUUUUGUCAAGCACUCACAAAUUGUUUUUGAGAAGUAUCACAAUGGCAGCUACUCCCAAUAGACAAUUCAAGAACAUUUGUGUGCUUUCUGGAUUUACCUAUGGCAAACAUAAAGAGUUCGUGGAGGCAGCCAUAGAUCUUGGUCGAAGCAUAGCAGCGAGAAAAUUACACUUGGUGUAUGGAGGAGGUAACCGAGGGUUAUCAAAAAUGGUCUCAGAAGCAGCUUUUAUCAGAGGAAGUCAAGUGUUAGGCAUCAUCCCAAGAGUCCUAAAACCAUUGGGCAGUUCGUCUGACUUAUCAACUGGAGAAGAGUUAGUCGUCUCAGGUAUGCAAGAAAGAAUAACUGAAAUGCUUAAUCAUGCUGAUGCUUUUAUUUUCCUUCCGGGAGAUCUUGCAACACUAGAGGCACUUAUGACACUAGCAUCUUGGGCCCAUCUGCACAUCCACCAGAAACCUAUCGGUUUGUUAAAUGUCAAUAACUUUUAUGAUGGCUUUAUCGCAUUUCUUAACCAUGCAAUAAAAAAUUAUUUCAUUCCUUCUAAUGUGAAAAAACUCUUUAUUUGUGCUCACACUGCUAAUGAGCUACUUGAUAUGUUACAAGCUUAUAAACAGGAGCCAGACCCCUGGACCUUUGUGUUGGAGCGUCCAAAUAAUGAUGGUAACAGUAGCCGCAGUAAGAAGUACAAAUUAGAUUUAACUCUCCGCCUGUAAAUAUUUUCUUCUGUGUUGCACCACCCAAGUGAUGUCUUCUAAACUCUACUUAUUUCCUUUCAAACAUUGAGGACAAUGUUUCGUUCUGGUUGGGGAGAGGGAAUAGUCGACAAUUGUGGAAUCUUGGUUAAGUUUUUACUAAUUUUUUGUUGUAGAAACUAACUGUUGCUAACUUUUUGUGUUGAAGAUGGCUGAAUAUGGAGUGUAGUUACUCUAGAAACGCAUCUUCAUUGUUCGAAAAAAAAAAAUUCUUUUUCUUUAUUAAGUUUUGAUGUUCAUUUUUCUUCUUCUUUUUAUUUUCUCCUCUAUAAAUAUACAUUUUCCAACUUUUGAGUCGAAGAUGGCUGAAUAUGGAGUGUAGUGCCUCUAGAAACGCAUCUUUAAAAAAAAAAAAAAACCAUUUUCUUUUCCUAUCAUUUUAAGUGUAACUUUUCUAAUUAGUUUUUCUACAUCAUUUUCGCAUUUCUGCAUGCAUAUUUUCCUUUCAUGCUUAGAAUAGGUUGGGGGGUAGAAUGUUGUUUAAAAAAAAAAAAAUUGUGUUAUUUGUUUUAACAUUGGAUGACAUGAUUAAUUUCAAAUUUUAGUAUUUGUAUUAUCUUUGGUCUUAAGUGAUGUUACGCUAUGUUUGCUACUUUACAUGUUGAUGUCGGAGACAAAUAUGAGUUGCUUGAAGGAAUGAACAUGUCAUAAAUAAGUGCCAAGUGAGUUGUUGAGCCUAUUAUUUUCUUGGAGAGUAACCCUUUUGCCCAUUCUCUAUACAGCUUAGUAGUUUAUUAUUUUAUACACGAUCUCUAGAUUUCUUUUAAGUUAACCCUUUAAAAAAAAAUGGUAAAAUUUAAAAAAAAAAGAAAAAAGAAAAAAGAGUGUGUUGCUACAUUUGGAGGCCCAUCUAACUAGUAGAUAUGGAAGAUUAUUUAGAGCCCUAAAAGACGAUGGAAAUGCCAUCUUUGAUCCGUUUGAGCCUUUCUAGCCAUCCCUUUGAUCAAAUAUCCAUAGUUACCCUUUUUGAGCCUUUAAAAAAAAAAAAAAAAAAACAAAAACAUUUUCUUUGUCAACUUAUCAUCUUGACCCACUCCGAUUUGGAGUAUUACCCAAUGUCUUUUAAGUUCCAUCACCUAUUUAUGUUUGAGAAAAUGUAAAUAAUUAUGUUGUUCAGUGAAGUUAUGCCAAAUAAAAGCAAAAAGAAAAAAAAAAAACAAAAGUUGUUGUUUCAAAAGAAUAAAAAUAACAAUAAUAGGUGAAAUCCACCUUUCAUAGUUCAAAAAAAAAAAAAAUUCUGCAUUUUUCUCAAACAUACACUUUGUUUUCCUUAUUUCCUUUCUUUGUUAGCCAUAUCCCUAGCCUACGUUACGUCCUAAUAAAAGUCCUUCUUGAUUUUAGGGAACUAUAGUUUGAAGUAGAAGCUAGUUAUAUGGGCUAAAAAGAUGUAGUGAUGCAUAAUAAUAAAAAAAAAAGAUUAAUAAAGUGGGUUGACUAACAUUUUAUUUGACUUGAGAUCGUAUUAUUUCUAAGCUGAGGGCAUAUUUAUUUCAUCUUGGUGAGAGCAUGUGAUAUCAUUUCUUUAAUAUUUUCUCUCUCAAUUACCAUUCAUUGGAGUGACUAUGUUUAUUGGGUUUUAAUUUCUUUGUGAGAGUGUCACUACUUCCAGUGAGAUUUUGGGGUUUGACAUGUCAUUCUUGAAAGUAGCUAUAACAAAGUCUACUGGGCUAAUUCAUGUGGAUGGUUGAUGUGGGUGUGAUGUUGCUUUAGACUGGAGAUAAUGCUUAUAUUUUUAUUUGAUUGCUAUCAUUAAUCUGAUUGAAUAAACACGAGUGUUUCUAAAAAAAAAAAAAAAAAAUCAUUUUGAAUUUGAAUUUUGUUUUCGCUUUAUUUGCUAGGGACUAGCAAUAAGCUGGUUGGGGAGUGUGUUGAGUGUUAGAAAAUGCAUAUUUAUAAAGGAGAAAACCGUCAUUUUACAUUUCAAGUCUUACUAACAACCCUUACUUUUAUGUAUUUAACCUUCUUGUGAUUUAAUUACAUGUGUUUUAUUUUAAUUAAGUAUUUUAUGUAUUUUAGGGGAAUUAUAGUCAUUUCACAAUAAAGGAGAGAUCAGACGGCAAAACGGACAUCACUUUUGAACUCAGGACGGUCGAAAACCUUAGGAGGAGCAUAAAAGGAAAAAUGGCACUAUUCACAUGUACGGUACUAUUCACGUAUACGGUACUGUCUAUGUUACUGUUCACGACACUGUUCACAUAGACGGAUCGAUGACGUGGCAUUGACCGAUGAUGUGGCAUUGACUGAUGAGGUGUCACGAUCAUGUUGGGCUAAAAUUCUUAUGUACUGUUGAUGGUGACGUGGCAGCAUAUCAGUGGACGAAAAAUCUCGUGUACGGUGCAUGCAUCACACAGGAUUAUUUUCAACCAAACCGCGUUACUGUUCAAACAGUAACACGGUUUGGUUGAAAAUAAUCUCAUGUGUUGCAUGUACCGUACGCGCGUUUUUUGGUCCACUAAUAUGCUGCCAUGUCACCAUCAAUAGUACAUAAGAAUUUUAGUCCAACAGGAUCAUGACACCUCAUCGGUCAAUGCCACGUCAUCGAUCCGUCUAUGUGAUCAGUGUCGUGAAUAGUAACGUAGACACUACCGUAUAUGUGAAUAGUACCGUACAUGUGAACAGUGACAUUUUUCCUUUUAUGCUCCUCCUAAUGUUUUCGACCGUCCUGAGUUCAAAAGUGAUGUCUGUUUUGCCGUCUGAUCCCUCGUUUAUUGUGAAAUGACUAUGAUGCCCCUAAAAUACAUAAAAUACUUAAUUAAAAUAAAACAUACAUAAUUAAAUUACAAAAAGCUUAAAUACAUAAAAGUAAGGGUUGUUAGUAAAACUUGAAAUGUAAAAUGAUGAUUUUCUCCUUUAUAAAUAUACAUUUUCUAACACUCAAGAAUAUGCUUACUAAGGUGGUAUCGACGGCUAAGUUCAAGGUGUGCUUGAGCCUAGCCAGCUUGGGUGACUACUGAUUACUUAAGGAUUUGGAGAAUGAAGCAAAUUAAAGAGUUUUGGCUCAAGGUGGAGAAAUGUGGACUAAAAUGAUGAAUCCAAAACUUGAGCAUGUUAAACAACAGUGUUUAGAAUGUGUUUAAUAUACUCAGGAGUCACGAGCAUGACAUAUGAUUUACUUAAGUUCAAAACGGCAGGAGCUUAUGACGUUUUGGUCAAAGGCUUAAGUGAAACAUUUGGAGUGCACGUGGGGUGAAGAAUCAAAUUAGUUAAGAAGCUGUUAGUCCAGGUGGCGGAAAUCUGUGUUUUCUGGGUUCGUUAUCAGCUGUUAUAUAAGCUGGUUAAAGGAGCAGUUUCAGCAAUGAUCUGAGAGCGUGAUAGAGAGAGUUAUGAUAGAGAGAAAGCUUAGUCUUGAUCCUAAUAGUUAGCUCUUGUAUUACUCUGUAAAGAUUACUUGAAUCAUCAAUAAAGCUUGCUCUGUGGGCUUCUCCCGUGGAUGUAGAUUGUGCUCCUUUGCACAAUCGAACCACGUAAAUCUCUUUCUUUCUUUUGCAUUUGAUUAGCUUCUAAUUCUUGUUCUGGUGUGUUCUGAUUACAGCCAUUUUGUUAAAGGUUUUGUUAACUCUAAAAGCUUGAUUGUUUAGAAUCUUAUCAUCUUGUUGGUCUGAUUUGUGAUAUUGGGCAGUGCUUGGGUUGCUAAUCGAUUUCUACAGCACCCAAUUCACUACAGCCCCCUUUCCCUAUUAAACCCUGUGCGAAAACGAAUAUUCCAAUAGAUUUUUACAUUGUAGUUUUGUUUAUCUAUAAUGUUUUCACCAAAUUUUCAUUAAGAUCCGAUUCGAAUUAAUUGAGUGGUUAUGAUCGGAUCCAACUUCAAUCUAGAUAUAAAUGUGUUAAAUUUAGGUUUAAAUGUGUUUCCUGAGAGAAGCUUGUGCUAAAUUUAGGUUUAACAAUGCUUUGUGAUGUUUGGGGCAAGUGACUUAGAUAAAGUAAUUAGGUGCUGAGUUAAAGUGAUAUACAUAGUGAACUGAGGUGGACAUAUGGAGAAUAAUAGAGAGAGCUUAGCGGAGUUCUGUUGGUGUUAAUUUAGAGAGUUGAUAGGGGGGCUAAUUUGUGCUCAAGAGUAGCUCAAGUAUGCUUGGUGGAUAAUUCAAAUGGUCUCACAAAAUACUUAGCGUAACUGGAGUAGCUUAGAUAAGCUCAUAUGUAAAAUAUAAUCUCAGUCUUAAAACGGAAAAUAUUGUAAAAUAAGGUUAAAUAUAAAGAAUGCACAAUGUUUAGGUGAUUUGGUCUUCAGCCUAUGUCCAUAAGAGCAAGUCGUUACUCAUCCACUGUAUAAAUGAGAGAUUACAUGAAAUUUUAAAAUGAAUAACACAAGCUAUAUAGCGAGAUAUCUAUAUAGAGAUGUUUGGUGUUGAUAAAUAUGAAGAUAGUGAAUAAAGACAUGAAGAGUAAUAAUAUGGUAGAAAAGAUUAUGGGGGUGGAGAAUAGAAAAUGGACUCUCAAAAAUGGAGAAGUUUGUGGUGAUCUAAAAGAUAGAGAUAGAGAAAGGAGAGCCCACAAAUAUGGGAGAAUAAGACAUUUAUAUAGUGGAGGCUAAUGGUAAAGAGUAUUCAUAAAGAAGAGGAAGUUUUUAGGGCUAUAUGUCGCAUCUUGAGGAAAAUGGAUAAGAAUAUUCUUUUUGUACUAGGUUCAUUUUUUAUUAUAAAUAUUUUGAAGUGUCCAACAUUGACUUUCAAUUUCCAAAACCAUCCAAUGUAGGAAAUUCUUCUAAAUGGCGCCUUAAAUUGCUCCAAAUAGCAUGCCCAUUUUGACCUUGUAAUUUUCUACGUGUUCUCCAUUUAUUGCUUCCAAAAUAUCCUUUCCAAAUUUUCCCCAAACAAGAUCCCUAGUUUUUUAUGCCGUGUUGAAAGAAUUAAAGGACAAGAAACUCUAAUGAAAAAUUUGGUCUUGUGGACACGUGGUUGCUUCCAGUUGCUAGUUCAUUUGUCUUGUGAUCCUUUGGGAGCAGAUAAGGUAAUUGAGGGAGCUCAGCUCUCCUGGUAAAACAAAAAUUUGCUAUAAAUAUCUUUGAUGGUGAUUUAUUCUAAGAGUUUCCUCAGAUUGAUGUAAAUUUAGAACAGGUUUAGGGUUUUUAUAAAUCAUAUACUUGGGAGGCUUCAUAAGAACUUUGAAAGUUAAAUUAUCUAACGAAGAUCAGUUUUUAGAGGGAAAGGAAUUAAUUUACAGGACAUCUACCUCCACAAAUUAGCUUACUUAUAAGUUGAACUUAUGUACCUCUGCAAAUAGAUUUAACGUCAAUUCAAUCCCAGAAAGUCUACUCAAGUUAUUCAAUUCAUGGUAAGCCAAUCCGUCUUAACAAAGCUUGAAAACGUGCCGAGAAUUUUAGUAAGAUUAAACACUGUGUGGACUCCAUCAGUCGCCCCACGAAAAGUUAACGCCAAUUUUACUCCCAAGCACUAUAAUUUUUUUUAUUGCUAUUUAAAUUAGGUAGUUGCGAAUGCGAAUUUGAAAAUGACAUAUGCAAUUUUAUGAGCUGGCAUUGAUUACAUUGUAAACCAUGCAUGCGAUCUUCACUGUCAGCACAUCAAUAAAGGAUGAUGUUCGAGUUUUAUUACAGUCCCUGAUUCAUACAUAUGAAACAUUUAGUGACUGCAUAAAAUAAAAGAAUUAGAAUGUAAUUUUUUAUAAAAAUUAAUUCAAUUCUGUUUUUGUGUUGCAAGGAUCGUUGACAAUAACUUAUUCUGGGACCAUACCUUUUUAUCCUGAGCCCACACUCUUACAAGGUAAAAUCAGUAAUUUUUUAUAUCAUGAGUGACAUAGAAUUUGUUUCCUAACUUUUUACAUAUAUUAUUUAAUAUUUGUUUAAAGAGAACUUUAUAUGAAGUGAUUUAAUUUAUAUAAAACUGAGCUAACUUACUGUUUUUUUUUUUUGGGCUAAAUUUUUUAAGUAAUGACGUCUGAACCAACGAAAAUUUUCACUUACAUAUUCGAGUUCGAACAUAGUAUGCCAGUGAUAAAAAUUAAAAAAAAAAAAUUGAAAAAAGUAAAACGUCAUCUUACUGAGCCCCUAUGUUACAUUUCAAAUUGUGGAUUCACACAAUUUGUGUGGUUGUUGUGGAGUGUGUAUCUUACAUUUUAAAGUGGCUUGAUUGACAAGAACCCGAUUAGCGAGCCCAUGCUUUGCGUAGGUAGCCUCAGUAGCCUUGCGUUGUAAUAAUUAAUAUAAGCAUCAAAAAGAAAAUUCGUUUUGAUGUAAUUAAGAUUUGUACUUACUAAAUUCAGCAUUUCAGUUUGUUAUGACGAAGUUUCUGAGUUUCUUAAUCAAGUACAAUAGCAUCCUUUAUUAGCCGGUCAAGUAUAAAAUUAAGGUGAUGAUGGGCAGGUGCCAAAGCAGAGUGAUUUGAAAUUAUCAUACCAGUGAUCUUUGCUAGCUCUGAGUGCAAAGAUAAUGUUUGGAAUCUUGUUAAUACUCUGUAUAAAUAAUACUCUCUUCUGAAAUCCGUUGAUCAUAUUUGUCUUUCACCUUGCAGAACUUGGUCACACAAUGAAGAUUACUGCAUAUUUGUCAUUUCUUUUUUCCAAGGAAAUUAUUAUGACAGUAUUGAGAUUUGAAAUGAUUGUUUGCAAAUUUUCUAGUUUAAAAUUAAGUAUGGAUUUAUUACCACAGUAUGUUUAAUCUUUGCUUUAUGCUUAAUUCAUCUUGACUUGCUUACAGAUAAGUAAAUUAAUUUGAAAAUUAAGCUCGAAGUGUUAUAUCCAUUCUUCCAAUAUUAAUUACAAGCAUUCAAUAGGAUGAAACUGUUACAAGGUGCAAAUCAAAAUUAUGUUAACAAUGUUAGUAAAUUGGAAAGCUAGCUAGUCGCUACAAAUUCAAUAUAGAAAUUAUAAUUCAACAUUUAAAGUCUCUCUGUCUCACUCAUUUUAAUAUCUUAAAAAUGUACAUUUGAUGACAAAAAAGAAGAGUAUAGAUAAGCCAACCCCAAAAUAUUUGGAAUUUCCAUUCUCUCUCUGCCGUAAUUUUCGGGGAAGCGAAUGCCCAGUGAACAAAAGUUUGAUCAAUCAAUGAUUGGAUCCAAAGAUACGUUAAUUAGUCAAGUCUUUCCAUUAAUUUUGAUCACAAAUGUUUAUCCUAUUUUGUGGGACGACUUGCCAUGGACUUUAAUUGUAGUUGGAAGGGGAGUGGCUAUUAAUACAAAGAUUAUUUUGACAGAAUUGCAUGCAACAAGUGAACGUUUUGUUUGGGCAAUUUUAAAAUCGUAGAUGUCUUUUAAGACUUUUGCCUUAAACAACGGGGAAAACUCUUCCCCACUUGAUCAGGCAUCGACUCAUACACCUCUCAAUUGCUAGUCUGGAUUCUAUAUAAUUUUGGCUCGCGUGGAAAAAGCUACUCGUGGAUUCCACCUAAUAACUCCAAUGAUUUUUUCUGAAAUUAAAACCAUAAUCUUUAGCCUUUAACCAUUUAGACUUUGGGCACGGACGAACGGUGUGUUAUGCAGUUCAUAGUUGAAGUGAAAACGGUCUAUAUUUUAGCCAACACUCGGUUUAUGAAAACAUAUAUAGUUGUGAUCAAGAUUAAUGGACAAAUUGGUUAAGGCUUUUUGGAUCCUAAACAAACUUGUGUACUGGGUAUUUCUCCCAAAAAGAUCGUGCCAUUCAAAGAAAGGAAAAAUAUUGACCGUACCGCGCCGGGUGUUAGUUGCUAGGCAAGUUCAAUUGUUGGCAUUAGAAAUUGGAAAAUUGUUGAACUGCUUUUGUGGGGGAAAGAAAAAAAAAAAAAAAGCUCUCUGCCCACUGCAGAACUGAUGUAAAUCUAAACAGGUUUAGGGUUUAUUAAAUCAUAUACUUGGGUGAGAUUCCAAAAGAACUUUGAAAGUUAAAUGAUCUAACGAAACUCAUUUUUUGGGGGUAAAGGAAUCAACUUACAGGACAUAUACUCCAGAAAUUAGAUUACUUAUUAGUUGAACUUACAUACCUCUGCAAAUGGAUUUAACGUCAACGUACUCAAUCCCAAAAAGUCUAACAACGCUUGAAAACGUGCUGAGAAUUUGUAAAAUUCAACACCGAGUGGACUGACUCCAUCAGUUGCCCCACAAAAGUUAAUGCGGUCCGCAAUAGCUGCACUCCAAAGCAUUAUAAUUUUUCUAUUGCCAUUUAAAUUGGCUAGUUGCGAAUGAGAACUCGAAAAUGACAUACGUAAUUUUAUGAGCCACCAAUAAUAAUGAAGGCUCUUAUGUUGAGUUUUAUUACAGUCUCUGAAUUCUAACCUUUUUCUUCUUUUAUUUAUUAUACAAUCUGAGUAUAUCUAUUGGGAGUCUGAUUCAUACAUAUGAAACAUAUAGUGACAGAAUAAAUUCAAGUUUGACCAGGACCACACCAUUUUAUCCCGAGGCCACACUCUUAUAAGGUAAAAUCAAUAAUUUUUAUAUCAAGAAGUGACGUAAAAUUUGUUUCCCAACUUUUUACAUAUAUUAUUUAUUGAAGGAGAAUUUUACGUGAAGUGAUUUAAUUUGUAUAAAAAUGAGCUAACUUACUGCUUUUGUUUUUUUUGCUAUAAUAAGUAAUAACGUCUGCGCUAAUGAAAAGUUUCAAUUAGACAUACAAGUUCCAACGUAGUAUGCUGGUGAUUAAAAAAUAAACAAAUAAAUAAAACAUCAUCUUACUGUUUAUUUCAUGGAAACCAAAUGUUUGAAGUAACUUGAUUUACAAGAACCCGGUUCGCGAGUCCAUGUUUUGUUUAGGAAGCCUCAGUAGCCUUGCGUUAUCACAUCACAAUUAAUAGAAGCAUCACAAUUAGUCUUUGUUUUGAUAUAAUAGAAGAUUUGUGCUUCUAAUGGCCAGGUGUGUCAAAGCAGAGUGAUUCGUGACAAUCACAAAUGUGAUCUUAACUAGCUCUCUGUGAAAAGCUCGUCUUUGUAAUCUUUUUAAUACUCUCUAUAUAUAAAUAUACUCUAUUCUGAGAUCAACUAAUUAAAUUUGUCCUAUUCAACUAAAAAUUUUAAAGCAUGAAUUUAUUGUCAAAGUAUUAUUCUUUGCUUUUUACGCUUAAUUCAUCAUGAUUUGAUCUCAGAUAAGUAAAUUAAUUUGUUAUGCUCAAUGUGUUAUAUACAUUCUCCUAAUAUUUAUUAUAAGCAUUCUAUCUAAAUGAAUAUGAUCGAACUGUUACAUGGUCCAAAUUAAAAUUAUGGCCACAAUGCUAGUAAAUUGGAAAGCUAAGCUAGCAUCGCUAAAUUGAACUUAAGUUUUCUUUGUUAAACUGGUUGAUAUGAAUAUGACAAGAAAUUGUAAUUCAACUUUUAAAGUCUCUCUGUCUCAACCAUUUUAAUAUCUUAAUAAAAAGGUACAUUUGAUGGCAAAAAUAUUUAGACUUUCCAUUCUCUCUCUGCCAUAAUUUUGGGGAGAUAAAUGCCUAGUAAGCAAGUUUGAUCAGUCGCUGUUAGGAUCCAAAUAAAUGUUAGUCAAUUAAUUUGUCCAUUAAUCUAGACCACAAAUGUUUAUUCUAUUUUCAUAAGUCGACCCCAGACCUUGGACAUGGAUUUUUUUUAAAAAAAAAUUGUCAUAAUAUGAGAGUCUAAAAAUUUAGAUUUAUGGUGUGUUUACUUGUGAAAUCAGGAAAUAGAAAUUCAUAGUGAGAAUGAUUUUUAAAUUGUUAUUUUUUACUUGUUAAAAUGGAAUGGAGAAUCAUAAUGAAAUAUGCAGGAUCCACAUAUUUUUGAGUCAAGGAAAAGAAAUUUGAUUCACAUGGGAUUGAGAAUCAAGUUUUCAUUCCUUUAACUCACCAUCCCCCCCCCCCCCCCCCCACAUUUCAUAAUUUCAAUUUUGUGCUCAAUUAAAAUGUUAUUAUAUUAAUGUAAUAAUAAUAAUAAUAAUAUUUAAAAUAACAAUAAUAAUGAUAAUAUAAUAAUAAUAAAAAUAACAACAACAACAACAAUAAUAAUAAUAACGAAAAGUAAUAAUAUUAAUAAUCACAAUAAUAAUAAUGAAAAUAUAAUACUACUACAAAUAACUAUUAUAAUAAUAGUAAUAAUACUUUGCAGUUACUAAUUUCAUCAUUUCACAAGCCACCUCCACGGGCUGAUCUUGGGCGCCUUGCGGAUCAUGUCAUUUAUCAUACCCACCUUUUAAAAGAAGAAGAUGAUGACGACGAUGAUGUGGUGUGUGCGCGUGUUAGAAACAUACCUUGAGGUAGUGUUUGGUUUUAAGAAAGAUGAGGAGAGGAGGGAGGAAAAAUAGAGAGGAGUGGAGAGGUAAUGGGAGGAUAGGAGCGCGAAAAUUGAUUUUUAUUGUUUGGUUUCACCAAAAAAUAAAAAAUAAAAUUAAAAGGGAAAGAAAUUACUUUUUUUUUUAUUUGGACAAGUAUACCCAUUGGAAUUUAGUGUUAAAAUGUUAAUAUUUGCAGUAAAUAUAAUAAAAAUAAUUAAACUAUAAGUUAAAUUAAUCUAGAAUAUAAACUAAUAAGAAAACAUUUGAUUUUAUAUUAUAUUUUUAAUUAAUUCAUUAUUAUUUUAUAAUCAAAAUAACUAACCAACAAGUAGAUGGACGACUAAAAGUUGCAUAUCGACAUAGAAGAACCUGACAUACGGCUCAAACUGUUAAAUUGUAAAGACUUUGUUUGGUUUCUGAGAAAGUUACAGAGAGAAACAGAAGGAAAAUAAUAAGAGAGAAUGAAUAUGAAUCAUUAGAUUAAUUCGAAUGGUUUUACAAGCAUGUAUUUAUACGAGUAUCUCGAAUCUUCUACAUGCUGUUUGAGACUGAGCUAACAGCAUAACAACCUUCCUCCAGCUCAGCUGCCAAGUAAGCAUUUAUAACAAACUUGCUUAAUCAAAUUAACUAAGCUUAACUAAAUAAACCAUCUUAACUAAUUCUAUUAUCUUAACACAAACGGUGAUUGAUUUGACUGAACUGCAACCAAGGGAACCAUUUUUUGGAUAAUUUUAGAGCAAUAAUGUUCAGACUACUAUGUAAAAAAUAUCCUAAUCUUCGAAAACUUUUCCACCGUAUGAAACAUUGGAAAAAUCUUCCCAACUUGACGCAUCGACUUGUUGACCUCUCAAUUGCUCGUGUGUGGCUUCUAUAAAUUUGGCAUCCAACAUGCUCGUUUUCCGCACCGUUGUAUGUUUUCCAAAAGCUAAGAGUCGUUAAAAAAUCUUUUGAAUUUCAAUAAAACGGUUUAACUUUAUUUAUUUGAUUGUGUUUUUGGAAUAUCAAUGGGGUCAUCAACCCUCAAUACAGUUGUUCCUUCACUUGUUUUGUUGAUCCUAUUUUUUGUGUUAAGUUUCUUAAUAAUUGUUUCUUCAGAAUCUAAUGAAGAAGCCGAUGCUCUUCUCAAAUGGAAAGCUAGCCUUGAAAUCGAUAACCGAUCUCUCCUUUCUUCUUGGAUUGAGGACACCACCAAUGUUUCCUCCAAAACAAGCCCGUGUGCUUGGUAUGGAAUCAGUUGCAAUGACGCCGGAAGAGUCUUCAACAUCAGCCUCCCAUUUGAAGGAUUAAAAGGCAAGCUUCAUGAUUUCUCAUUCUCAUCGUUUCCUCAUCUUGCUUAUCUUGAGCUCAGCUAUAAUGAACUCUUCAGUACUAUCCCGCCUCAAAUUAGUAACCUUACGAAUCUCAGCAUCCUUUCUUUAGGAGGCAAUCAAUUUUCAGGAAAUAUUCCACCUGAAGUUGGUCUUAGGAGUCAUUUGAAGAUCCUUUACAUUGAUUCGAACCAAUUAGAUGGCUCAAUUCCACCAGAAGUAGGUCAGUUAAGUUCUAUGGUGGAGCUUGUGUUGUUCUCUAACAACUUGAACGGUUCAGUCCCUCCUUCUUUAGCUAAUUUGACACACAUCUCUAUGUUGUUCCUUUAUGAUAAUUCAUUUUCUGGUUUUAUUCCUCCGGACAUUGGAAACUUGAAAUCUAUAUCCAUCCUAACUGUUAUAAACCUAUUAACGUAUUGAAUCUAGAAAGAACUAAUCAAAGCAAGCUAAUCAAGAAAGAAACAGGAAAGAACUUUAACAGAGCACAGUUCCAAGCACUCAACUUGUAGAAGGAAAAACUGCUCUUUUAUUGAUCACUAUGAAUCAAAUUACAAGCUGAUUCUAUAGAGGAGUUUACAAGGAUCACAAAGAACCAAUUAGCUCACUAAAUGAUCAAGAAAUGAGAAAGAUUACAACUGCAUAUCAGAGGCUAAAACACACGUAUAUAUACUUUGGUAUUUCUGGGAAAUCAUAACGAACUCAUAACGAAUUCUUGCCACAUCAGCUUUAAUAUUUCAACUAGACCCCUCCAGCUGAAGUCGAUCUGCACAAUGCCCCCAGACUUCUUCAAAUCUUCCAUUUAAACCCAACGACCAUUAGUUGACCAGUAGCUUAUUUCCUCACAUUCUCCACCUUGCAGACUCGAUUCAGCUGAUCAUCUCAAUUAAGUAACAUAAAAAACCUUCAAAGACACAUGUUUCAGGAACUAGAGCUGCUGCCAACACCAAUGAAGUUUACACAAAACUUAAAUUUUGUCGUUGGUAGUACUUUGGUUAGCAUAUCAGCAGGGUUGAUGUUUGUAUGUAUCUUGAUCACUGCAACUGACCCCUUUGCAACCUCAUCUCUGAUAAAGUGCAACUUCACAUCAAUGUGCUUUGUUCUCUCAUGAUAGACUUGGUUCUUGAUGAGCUGAAUGGCACUCUGAUUAUCACAAAAAAUUUCUACUGUUUUUUGUUUCAACCAUAGUUCAUUUAGCAGCCCUCUCAACCACAUUGAUUCUUUCACUGCCUCUGUUGUAGCAACAAAUUCUGCCUUAGUAGAUGACAAAGCUACUAUGUGCUGUAGAGUAGCUUUCCAACUUAUGAGGCAACUAUCCAACAUAAACAGAUAACCUGAGAUGGAUUUUCUUCUGUCCAAGUCACCUGCAAAAUCAGAGUCAACGUAUCCUCUGACUUCACAGACCUCAUGCUUGGAUUUCCCAUACAUCAAACCAUGAUCUAAGGUUCCCUUUAGGUACCUCAUGACCCAUUUUACAGCAUCCCAGUGAAGCUUACCAGGAUUACUCAUAAAUCGACUCACCACACUUACUGCAUAAGCUAUGUCUGCUCUAGUGCAAACCAUUGCAUACAUCAAGCUUCCCACAGCUUGGGAGUAUGGUAUAUCAACCAUCUUUGCCUCCUCAACAUCUGAAGUUGGAGACAUAUCUUCAGAGAGUUUGAAUUGAACCCCUAGAGGUGUCAGUACUGGUUUUGAGUCCAUCAUCUGAAAUCUUUCCAGCACUUUGCUGAUAUACCUUAACUGGGUUAGAAACAAGGUACCAGCUGUUCUAUCUCUAACAAUAUCUAUCCCAAGAAUCCUCUUGGCACUGCCAAGAUCUUUCAUUUCAAAUUCCCCCUUCAGUAAAUUCUUAAGCUCUUUAAUGUCACUGAGAUCUUUACCAGCAAUGAGUAUAUCAUCAACAUAUAGUAGAAGAUAUACUGCUCCACCUGAGUUUAUAAUCCCAUGAUAGACACAACUAUCAUAUUUGCUCCUGGAAUAGCCAUUGGAGAUCAUAAACUGAUCAAAUCUUCUAUACCAUUGCCUAGGGGAUUGUUUCAAGCCAUAUAGAGACCUUUUAAGAAGGCACACAUACUCCUCAUGUCCCUGUUCUUCAAAGCCUUCAGGUUGAGACAUCAAUAUCUUUUCUUCAAGAUUGUCAUGUAGGAAGGCAGUCUUUACAUCCAUUUGUUCAAGCUCUAGAUCAAACAAAGCCACCAUAGCAAGCAAGAUUCUGAUUGAACUGUGUUUUACCACUGGUGAGAAGAUUUCAUUGAAAUCAAUCCCCUCCUUCUGUAUGAACCCUCUUGCCACCAGUCUUGCCUUAUAUCUUGAAUCUUCAACACCUGGAAUGCCCUCCUUUUUCUUGAAUAUCCACUUGCAGCUGACAAUCUUCCUAUUCCCUGGAUUUGGGACCAGAAUCCAAGUCUGAUUUCUUAUCAGAGAAUCCAUUUCCUCCCUCAUAGCUUUAAUCCAGUUUCUGUUAUUCUUGCUACUCAUUGCUUCUCUAUAGCUGUUAGGCUCUUCAAUUGCAACAUCUUCUGUACUCAUCAAGGCAUAUGCAACCAUAUCUGCAUAUGCAUAUCUUGCUGGAGGUCUGGUAUGUCUUCUUUCUCUAUCUCUUGCUAACUGAUAUUGUUGUAAAUCAGUUACUUGUGGUACUUCACCUUCUGUUACUUCUGCAUCUUGAGUCUCAGCUUCAACAGCCUCUGGUUGUAUUUGAUCUUCAUAGUCUUUAGACAACUCCACUUCAAUCUUUUCACCUUGCUCAGUUUCUGUGGUGGCUUGUGUGUCACUUGUAUUGAUGUCAUUAGCAGAAGUGGCUUGGUCAGAGUUAUUGAUCAUGGCCACUUCAUUGAACUGGACAUCUCUACUGAUCAGACACUUGUUAGCCUCUUUACACCAGACCCUGUAGCCUUUAACCCCAUCUGGAUAGCCAACAAAAACUCCUUUUAUGGCUCUUGCAUCAAGCUUCCCUUGUCUGACAUGGACAUAAGCAGGGCAUCCAAAUACCCUCAGGUGUUCAUAUUUUCCAGGUCUUCCAGACCAGAGUUCUUCAGGUGUCUUGAAGCCAAUUGCUGAAGAUGGACUUUUAUUUACCAGGUAACUAGCUGUAGAAACAGCUUCUGCCCAAAGGCUCCUAGGAAGCUUAGAGUUUAUCAACAAGCAUCUUGUUUUGUCAAUAAGUGUUAUGUUUAUCCUCUCAGCUAAACCAUUUUGCUGAGGGGUGAAUCUUACUGUUUUGUGCCUCCUAACUCCCCAUUCCUGGCAGCAUUGCUCAAACUCUUUAUUAUAGAAUUCAAGUCCAUUGUCUGUUCUUAAGCAUUUCACCUUGAAACCAGAUUGAGUCUCCACCAAAGUCUUCCAAAUCUUGAACUUCUCUAAGGCUUGGUCUUUGGUCUUCAGUAUGUGGAUCCAUACUUUCCUGGAGUAGUCAUCUAUGACUGACAUGAAAUACCUUCCCCCACUCAUGGAUGGUACUUGUGCAGGCCCCCAUAAAUCAGCAUGUACAUAAUCUAAUGGUUGUUUAGAUACAUGUAUGCCCUUUGUGAAUUUGGACCUGUGUGCCUUGCCAAAGAUGCAGUUUUCACAGAAGUCUAGCUCAUCUAUAUUAUCACCACACAGCAGCCCUUGCUUACUCAGUUCUUGCAUUCCUCUAAUACUCAUAUGGCCUAGUCUAAGGUGCCAUAACAUGGUUCUAUUAACAUCAGAAACAGCAGGCAUUGCAACUGAUCCAGGCACUGAUGACCCUUAUAACACAUAAAGGCCAUUCUUCUUAACUCCUUUCAUUACCAUCUCAGUCCCCUUCAUAAUCUUCAAACCACUAUUUUCAGAUUUGAAGCUAUAUCCCAUACCAUCUAGCAUGCCUAAAGAUAUCAAGUUUCUCUUUAGCCUAGGUGCAUGCCUUACAUCACUUAGAGUUUGAACAGACCCAUCAAACAUCUCUAUUUUGACAGACCCCAUACCAACAAUCUUACACACAUUGUUGUUACCCAUCAACACUCUACCACCAUCCACAGAUUUAUAUGUAUGGAAAAGGCUUUUAUCAGGACACAAAUGAAAUGAACAGCCUGAAUCAAGAACCCACUGACCUUUGAUAUUGCUGUUUGAAGCCACCAACAAAUCAGCACUAUGGUAUCCAUCAUCAGAGGAGUCUUCUGAGGCUACUGCUGCAUCACCUGUUCUCUCUUUUUCAUCCCUCUUUUUCUCAGCACAGUCCCUGAUGUAGUGACCUUGUUUCUUGCAAUAGAAGCACUUUCUUUUCUUCAUUUUUUCUUUUACAGAUACAUCAUCCUUUUUAGCUUGACUCUGGUUCUUCUUCUUUUGAUUUUUCUUUUCUGUUCUGGCAAAUAAGCCUUCACCAUUACUAACUUCAUGCCCAUUAUUCUUCUGGAUCUCCUUAGAACUCAAAGAAGCUUUUACAUCCUCUAAAGUGAGUGUAGUUCUUCCAUACAGCAUGGUGUCUACAAAUCCUUCAUAGAUUUUUGGCAGUGAGCUCAACAGAAAGAAGGCUUUAUCCUCAUCAGUUAUUUUCACAUUUUCAACUCCUUCAAGAUCAAGAAUGAUCUUGUUGAAGUUGUCAAUGUGUUCUUGAAUCGAGACUCCUUCUCUCAUAGAAAAGGUAUAUAGCCUUUUCUUCAAGAACAAUCUGUGUGCCAGGGACUUUUUCAUACACAAGGCCUCCACCUUGUUCCAGAUACCAAGGGCAGUCUUCUCUUCAGAAAUCUCCCUUAGAAUUGAGUCACUGAGACUCAAGAUCAAGGUACUGUGAGCCUUGUUCUGUAUCUGUCUUUUCUUCUCAUCAGAGACUGAACUUGAAGCAUCCCCAAGAUCAUCUUCUUCCAGCACUGAUUCGAGACCUUGAUGAACAAGGAGAGCCCUCAUCUUCAUCCUCCAAAGUGAAAAGUCACCACCAAUGGUGAAUCUUUCAAUAUCGAGUUUUGGAAGAGACAUGUUUUUGAACCACCACUGGCUCUGAUACCAAUUGUUAUAAACCUAUUAACGUAUUGAAUCUAGAAAGAACUAAUCAAAGCAAGCUAAUCAAGAAAGAAACAGGAAAGAACUUUAACAGAGCACAGUUCCAAGCACUCAACUUGUAGAAGGAAAAACUGCUCUUUUAUUUAUCACUAUGAAUCGAAUUACAAGCUGAUUCUAUAGAGGAGUUUACAAGGAUCACAAAGAACCAAUUAGCUCACUAAAUGAUCAAGAAAUGAGAAAGAUUACAACUGCAUAUCAGAGGCUAAAACACACGUAUAUAUACUCUGGUAUUUCUGGGAAAUCAUAACGAACUCAUAACGAAUUCUUGCCACAUCAGCUUUAAUAUUUCAACUAGACCCCUCCAGCUGAAGUCGAUCUGCACAAUGCCCCCAGACUUCUUCAAAUCUUCCAUUUAAACCCAACGACCAUUAGUUGACCAAUAGCUUAUUUCCUCACACUAACUUUGGCCAUUAAUCAAUUUAGUGGUCCAAUCCCUCUUUCUUUAGGUAAUUUGACCAACCUAAAACGAUUCAGCCUCCUUUAUAACAACCUAUCCGGUUCCAUUCCACCCUCCCUCGACAAUCUUGUGUUAACCAAGCUAUCAUUGGAUGAGAACCAUUUCACUGGUUAUUUACCCCACAAUAUUUGCCGAGGCGGAGCACUACUGUAUUUUACUGUUUCUGAAAACCAUUUUCAAGGAACAAUCCCUAAAAGCUUGAGAAAUUGCACAAGCUUAAUCCGAGUACGCCUUGAUGGAAACAACCUUACUAGAAAUAUUUCAAAAGCUUUCGGCAUUUAUCCUAACCUGACUUUCAUAGAUCUCAACCGCAAUAAUUUUUACGGUGAAAUCUCGUCUAACUUUGGGGAAUGCCCAAAAUUAGGCGCUCUCAACAUUUCGAUGAAUAACAUUACUGGAGGUAUACCGUGUGAGAUUGGAAACUGGUCUCAACUACAAGCACUCGCUCUUUCAUUGAAUCAUAUAGUUGGGGAGAUUCCAAAGGAACUUGGGAAGCUAAAUUCGCUAACCAAGCUCAUUUUGAGAGGGAAUCAACUUACAGGACGCCUGCCUACAGAAAUCGGCGCAUUCAAUGAACUUGAAUACCUCGACUUAUCUGCAAAUAGAUUCAACAAUUCAGUCCCAGAAAGUCUUGGCAACUUGCUGAAAUUGCACUACCUGGGCUUAAGCAACAACUAGUUUGUCCAAGAAUUGCCAAAGGAAUUGGAGAAGCUAGUUCAACUUUCAGAAUUAGAUGCAAGUCAUAACCUCUUUGGAGGAGAGAUACCAUUUCAAAUAUGCAGUUUGAAAAGCUUGGAAAAGUUGAAUCUCUCCCACAAUAAUCUCUCUGGUUCGAUUCCAAAUUGCUUUGAGGGAAUGCACGGUCUAUCAGUCAUUGACAUUUAUGAUAAUCAAUUGCAAGGCCCAGUUCCAAAUAGCACAGCAUUUCGGAAUGCCCCAGUGGAAGCGUCAGAGGGGAAUAAGGAAUUGUGUGGAAGUGUGAAAGGAGUGCAACCAUGCAAAGUUUUCUCGUUACACAAGCAAAAUUCUGGAGCCAAGUGGUUUGCAAUAGUGUUCCCUGUUUUAGGAGCACUAUUUGUUUCAAUGGCGUUGAUAGCAAUUUUCAUUUUUCAAAAGCGGAAAUCAGACUCAGGAGAUCGACAGAGUAGCAACCAGAACCCUCAGGGAUUGCUUUCUAUAUUAAAUUUUGAAGGCAAACUUUUGUACGAUGAAAUUGUUAGAGCAACAAAUGAUUUUGAUGCAGAGUAUUGCAUUGGAAAUGGUGGACACGGAAGUGUUUACAGAGCUGAACUACCAUCUGGGGAAGUCGUAGCUGUUAAGAAAUUUCACUCACCACUCCCAUGCAAUCAGAUUGCAGAUCAAAAAGAAUUAUGGACCGAAGUUGAGGCCUUGACAGAGAUACGACAUCGAAACAUUGUGAAGUUUUAUGGAUUUUGCUCACAUGCCCGACACUCUUUUUUGGUCUAUGAAUUUCUUGAAAGGGGUAGCUUGGCUGCGAUCUUGAGCAAUGAUGCAGCAGCACAAGAACUGGGUUGGAGUCAGAGAAUGAAUGGGAUCAAAGGCGUAGCUGAUGCUUUGUCUUACUUGCACCAUGACUGCUUUCCUCCGAUUGUCCAUCGGGACAUAUCAAGUAAGAACUUGUUGCUGGAUUUGGAAUAUGAAGCUCAUGUUGCAGACUUUGGAAUUGCUAAGUUUCUGAAGCCAGACUCGUCCAACUGGACUGAAUUUGCAGGCACAUGCGGAUACGUUGCACCGGGUAUUUAGUAUUUGUUUGUUGCCAUUUUGAGGAGUCUGCGGUAACAGAACAAUAUAACUAUUAAAUUUCAUGUUGCAGGCACCGCCGGUGAGCAUAUUUGAGGACAUGUGGAGUCGGUACAAUGAAGACCAAGAUUUAGUAAGACAGUUUGUAAUAAUUAAAAAUAAUAAUUUCUCGCGACAUGUAUGAACCCCUCAAAUGUAAACUUGAAAGUGUGUACCACUGUAUUAAUUAAUGGGUGGCUCUAACUUAUUGAUAAUAUUAAAUUAAAUUUUAAAAGAAAGGAAUAGACUGGGGAAAAAAUUAAAAAUUGAGGAUAAUUUACAAUGUAUCCUUGUGAUUUAACCGAAAAUCAAAUAAACCAAUAAUAAUUAGUAUUUUUUUUUUUUGGGGAAUGAUUUGUCUUAGCUUUGAGUAAACGAUUUGAUGGACUUAUAGCUCUCAUCAAUUGUCUUGAAUGCUCAAUGGCUUAUACUUUGUAGAAUCUCCAAUGUUGUGAUAACAACUUUGACGGUUAAAGUUUGAUUGUGAAUUUGGUUGAAUGAUUUAAUUUACACUUGAUUCUUAUACCGACCUCUACCAAGUUAAUCUUUUUUCAGGAUGUUUAAUUUUGUUAUGUCAAAGUUAGUUGAUGUCCUAUAUUUGAUCAAUGUGGAUGGCUGAUCAAAAUUAAAGAAUCCUUGAACGAGAUUGAGGGCUUGACAGAGAUACGACAUCAGAGUAUUGUAAAACAUGACCUGACAUUCAAUUUUAGUUUAUGAAUUUCUUGAAAAGGGUAACUUGGCCAUAAUCUUGAGCAACAAUGCAGCCACGUAAGAGUUAAGCGGGCUGGAGUCAGAAUGAGUGGGAAAAAAGGCGUUGCCGAUGCCUUGUAAUAUUCGUUUGUUGCCAUUUUGAGGAAACAUUUUUCUUUUUUAGCAAACAUUUUUCUUUCUCUUUUUAUUUGUCCUUGACCUUGCAGAGCUUGCUUACACAAUCAAGAUCCCAGAAAAAUACGACGUGUACAGUUUUGGAGUGUUAGUAUUGGAAGUGAUCAAGGGAAAGCAUCCAGAGAUCAGAUGUUCUUUCCACAGUUUCAGCUUCAUCUUCCAAUGCCCCUUGAUGAAAUGUUGGAUCCUCGGCUUCCACCCGAUCCAUUGUUCGAUGUUCAGAGGAAGUUAGUAUCAAUCACGAAGGUUGCCUUCUCUUACUUAAAUGGGAAUCCAGAAUCCAGACUAAUCAUUAUUAUUGUUCGAGUUUCAAAUAUUUGCCUUCAUUUCCCAUUGUUGCACAAGUUAAUUAUACGUAUCAUGCUUAUGCAGGCCUUAAUUCGGAACAAAAGAAUGUUAAUAGAAGAAUUGUGCAACUAGAGGAGGAUGUACUUCAUAAUUAAUUAGUCUGCUUUCAACACAAAAUAGAAAAUUUAGUUGACAGAUGGCCACAAAAGACUAGCUUCGUUUUUGCUAAAAAAGAAAUAAAAUCUGCUUCUAUGACCUCUGUAAACCAACUGCUUCAAUGCCCCCAGUUUCAAAACUAUCAUUGAUACAGAGCCAUUGGACCUGGGCUACAUAUUCAACUUUUCAGAGUUCCAUUUCUAGCGUGAAGCUUUUGAGAGCAUGGACACACUUGACGCUAGAUAACCCUCACGAUAUAUGUUCCAAAAUCUCGUCAGCCAUAAUUUUGCCGCAAAAGCCGAUAGAAUUAAUGAUCCUUAUUAAUUAUGAAUUAAAUCCUCCUUUGGCUGCACAAUUUUGGAUAAAAAAUUUGGACCAGUUUUGGUGUUUGGUUGAGCAUAUGUUGACUGUUAGGCACUAAAUCCAUAGUCAAUAUUUAUCCGACAUGAGUUUCACAUGGAUCCCAAUGAACUCUUGACCAUAGAUUCUGUACCCAACACAAUAUGCUUAUGAUUUAAAAAUAAAAUAAAUCAUGUAAAUACUUUGUAUCAAUACUUAAUGCAUCGACAAUCGUUUUCUUUGUGUACGGACUUGUCGAUAAAAAAAAAAGUUUAAUUGUUUCUUUGUUUACAUCUGCUUAAUCUGAUUAGGAUGAAACGAAAUUAAUUGUUUCUUUGUUUUAAAAAAAAUGAAUAACUAUAAUUUCUUGAAUAUUUGAUGAAUUAACAAAAGAAUUGUGAAUGAAGUUUUGUUUGGUAUAAAGGUGUUGUAAUCUUUAAAUCACAAUUAUUAAGAAAAAUAGAGCAAUAACAAAAAAAUAAAAGUUGAUAAUAUAUAAUAAACAUAAAUUUUAAAUAAUAGUUUUAAUAAAAAUAAUAAAGAUAUUAUAAGUUUUCUAUCAUUAAAAACAAAUUAUUUUAGUUUUCAAGUCACAAUUAUGAUAGUUACAAAUUUUUAUAUAAAUUAAUGUGGUAUAAAUUUAUUAGUUAGUUAAAAAUAUAUAAAAUAAUAAAAAUAAAUUAUGUGAGAUAACUAAUAUUUAAUCUAAUUAAUUUAAUCAUGUCAUGUUAAUAUGUAUAAAAUAAAUUUAUAUAAAAAAAUUGUAAUUAGGUUAUUGCUCUCGACUCUUGUAAGCAAGCACCGAUGCGUACAGCAUGCUAUUUGUGUGAGUGUUCUGUCCAAUUUUUCCGUCAUUACUAUUAAAAAAAGAAAAAACAUGGACCCCUCGACGAGACAUCACGUGGGCCCACUAAUCUUGAUGAUCACAUCUUUUUUCAUGUAAAAAGGAACCCCCGCUUUACAACGACACCGUCUUUUCUUUAGUCUUUCCUUUCGUUUUCGUCAGCCUCCACAAACACUUGCUUAAUAGCCGCCCCAUUUUCUUUCACUCCUAUCCAUUGUCCACGCGUCCGACCAUGAUUGCUUCUCCGGUUCUAAUCACAAGAUUUUCGCCAAAUGGGCGAACGAGAUGGGCCCUAUCUCUGCGCAGACCACACCGUCUAUUCUCUCAGUGAAAAGAAAAUAAAACUAUUUAAAAUCUCUAAAUAUAAAUUGAAUUCAACUCUUUUUUUUAUCUUUCAUUUAUAAAUAGUAAAUAAAAAAAUCAAAAGAAUUCAACUGAAUAUUCCUUUUGAAAAAUUAUACGGUAGCGAACUUCCUUGCAUAAAUAUGAUCUUAAUUCAAUUUAUUAAACAUAUUUAUAUGCGGUUCAACACUUUAACUAUGUUGCGACAGUUAUAAAGUAUCUCACUUUUUAUAUUUUGUGAUUUAACUGAUGUCAAAUUUAAUAGAACACUUUUUACUCCAUUUUAUAUUUACAUACAUUAUUAAAAUUUUAUUUAGCACCUUACACUCUUUUUAUUUAUUAUUUUUAUAAAUAUUAAAGUACUUAUUUGUUUACAUCCAAUACUAGUAUCGAUGGAAAGACAACAAUACCCUUAAAUUUAUAAAUUAAAAAUAAAAUUUUAAAAUUUUUUGCUUGUUCCUCUCACCUUCAUCUCCAUCAUCAUCAGUCAGUAACGAUUAAAAAAGAAAGAGAAAAUGUACCACCAAAAAAAAGAGAAAAAAAAAAUCUCAAAGACUCACCGAUCACCCAUCACCUUUAUUCUCUCAAUGGUUCAUGAACAAUACAACAACACCAAUAAAACAUAAGAACACGACUCUGACUCUUUUGAUUCUUGUUUCACCAACACAGCAAAUUCCGAGUUUAAAAGGCUUCAUUCAUAUUCUUACAAAACUUGACAUUUCAUCAUGGUAUGGUUUAAGUUAAAAGAGUUUAUUGUUAGUUUAUACGAACUCCUUAAAGUGAUUACAUUUGACCGAUAUCUUACAUGGGGAACAUAUCAUUAAUUCUUUAUACCAAACAUUCCAAACUAUCAUAAUUAUAUCAAUUCUAACUUAACACCUUGUAAUUCAUUUUACACAAAAUGGAUCUGCUGUAAGAAUGUCGCAAAAGACAGCUUCAAACUGGCUAAGGGCAAGAAGAGCACUUGCACCACCAGAAGUUUCUUUCCUAAGCUCAUCAGCAAAACCAAAACUUUCAGAAACAGGCAAAUAAGCAUGAACCGUGAAAAGUGCAGAACCUUCCUGCAUUCCCUCCUUCAGCACCCGGGCCCGCCUUCAGGAAACCACUCCAUACAUUUUACUCAAAGAAUCAACCGGUGUGUUCAACUCACAAAAAUACAUGGCUUCAACAAGUCGGGGUUUCUUCUUGAGCACAACUUGUCUACAUGCAUCUUUAACAGCUGUCAUAACUUGCCCAGAGAAGAUGCCAUGCUGCUCAGAUUGUUGGGAAGUUUCAGAGUCAACAUAUUUCCCAGCCAUAGGAGAGAUGUAAGCCUCAACAAUUGUCGAAGUUCCGUCCUUGACAACCAAGAUCCGUCGGUAAUUGGUGUCGGAAACAACCUCAGUCUCUCCCUACUCCGUGCUCCCAAACUCAGCUCAUACUUUGACUAUUUGUUGUACUUCGUCGCAGCAAACUGCCCGAUCUCUCUCAUAUGCGGCUCCUUGGGGUCUUCUAUCGGCUUCCAUCCCUCACCCAAGACUCCUUUACGGUCCACGACGGCCAGGAGAGGGAUUGUUGCCACGGCUUUUCAUGACCCCAAAAUGCCUAAAUCUUGCGCUUUAUCCGUUUUCUUCAACCUUUGUCAAGAAGGGUAAUUUUGUCUUUUUAAGAUUUAUGAACAAAUUAUAAAUGAAAGGAGUGCAGGGUGCUCAAUGAUAUUUAAAUCAUAAAAAACAAAAGUCGGGGUACGGUACAACUGCAACAUAGCUGAACCCACUUAUAUGUUACUUUAACGGACAAAACUAUGGUGCAACUGUGGUAUCAUACCACAGCUACACCUAACCAUUAGAUCCAACUGCACACAUGUACUAUAGCUGAAUCCAAUGGCUAGGUGCAGCUGUGGUAUGGUACCACAGUUGCACCAUAGCUGGACCCUACUUUAGCAUGCAUUUUUCUUAUAGUUUACAAAAUGUAGUGCUUAUUUUCUUUCGAAUACCAAACAGUAGAGGUGUAUAUUGAGUUGAAGCAAAUAUAAUAUUAUAAACUAACACUAUGUUGUAUCAUACUUGGUAAAAUAUUUAGUGUUAACAUCUAUGAAAAUAUUAUUAAAUCCUCAAUGAAAAAUCUUCAUCGUAUUAAACAAUUUUUUAUGUAAUAUGAACUAUGUAUUUUGUUAUAAUGGAAGCUGUUAAGAAAGGUUGUCUCAACUUUAUAUUAAGAUUUUGUACUUAUAAAUAAAUAUAUAGUAUGAUCUAAACCUUACAUGUAUAAUUUUUUUUCAUAACUUAGCUAUCUAUAAAAGAUUUAACAAUUUCUUAAUUAUUGAUCAUAAAUAGUAGCAUAUUAUAAUACAAUAUAAAAUUUACCUUAAAGUUAAUUUAUUACUGCCACAUUAUAAAUCUGUAGAAUUAAUUUGAAUUGGUAAUAUUAUGACGCCAAAGAAAGGUAUAUCAAAUUUGGUUAGAACUGCCUAUUGAAGUAACAUAUACGUAUUUGUAUGGAUACAUUAUGUAGCAAAAAAAAUGAAGAUUUUUGUAACAAACUUGACAAAUAUCUAAAUUGCAGUGUUGAUGAUAAAUAAUUAAUCUCUUUUACAAUCCAUUUGCUUUUAGUCUAAAUCAAAAGAAAGAUAAUAAAUUCACGGAACUUUUGCCUUAAAAAAGCAAACGAUCCAAAUUAGAUAAAUAGUCAACCAAUUAAUCAAACAAACAAGGUCCCCUGCAUUUAAUGAGAACUUAAGCUUUUGCUUUAUCUCAGCAACAAGUUGAGUUUUAUGUGAUUUAAGAUUAAAAUAUUAAUAAAACUACAAAAUUAUGUCAUUUAAGAAAUUAUAUUUAAGUAUUUACCUAAUUAAAGUUUUAGUUAACCACUAAGCGACUUAGAUUUAAAAUUUAGAUAAGACUCUAGUUGAUCUUUCAUGUGAGAAUGUUAAUUCACUUACUUAGCAUUAUGUGGCAUUUUCUUUAAAGAUUUUAAAUUAUUUGAUGGUUGUGAGAGUCAAAUUUAAAAUAAUAAAAAUUAAUGUAAUUAUCAUGUUAAUGGGACCACAUUAGAGUCAUUAAUUCAUAAAAGAAUAUGAAUUCAUAUAUUACGCAGAUGAAUUUUUUUUAUUUAAAAAAAGUAGGUUUGUUAAUAUCAAAGGCGGCUCAACUAAUUUUGAAGCCUUAGGCGAAUUGUUUCAAUUAUGUCUUUAAUAAAAUUUGAAGUCAAACAUAUUCAUUAGUUUUACUAAAAAGUCAAAAGUUAUUUAUUUAAAAUCAAAUUUUCUGGCUUUCUUAAGUGCAAAAUUAUUAAUCAAAUUUAUAUUCUAAUUUCAGUAAUAUAUUUUUCUCAAUAGCAAUAUAGCUAAUCCAUUUAAUUUUCUUGCGACUUAGUUAAUCUUAAAUAAUUUUUAUCAAUUUUAAUUUUGAAAAACCUCGUCAAUUACUAAUUCUUCACUCAAAUUCUCAUCUUUUUUUACUACUUUUGACAAACUUAUCAAGAGCUUCUUUUGAGAUCAAAUUAACUUUUUAUUAUUCUCUCUCUCUUUUUUUUUUUGAACUUUUUCAUAUUUUAGUGCACAUUUUCUUUUAGACAUUUUCUUUUCAGUGAAAUAAGAGUAAACAAGCAUACAAUUAUGAUAGAUAAUUAAAAGAAAAGAACAAUUAUAUUUAAAAAAGAAACAAUAACAAUUGAAUAACACAACUAAUUAAGAAGAGCGUAGGAAGAAAAAAUUGGAUACUUGAGAACUUUUUACUUUGAUUGAUUGAAGUUUUAAACAGCAGUGAUUAAUGGAAAUAGUUAAUCUUUCUUAAAGUAAAAUUUAAAGAAAGCGGUUUUACUUUUUUUUUUCCUUAUGCACUAAAGCAUUGAAUGUGUCGUGCUUUUUUUUUUAAUUGAUAAAAAUAUUAAUGGAUAACAACAAAUGUGUGGCUUCUAUAGAGGUAUAAAUAAAAUAACGUUAAAUAGAGAUUUUGUAUGAAUAAAUAAGAUUAAAAUUGUCAUUAUAACGUUAAAAAGAGAUUUUGUAGGGAUUUGAUAAUUUAUUUAUGACAAUUUUGUAGGAUUAAAAUUGUUAUUAAAUAUAAAUGAAUAAUUUUAUAGCUAUAAUAUUAGAGAGAAAUUUGGGGCCUUUAUAUUUAGUGGAGUUCAUUGCCCAAGUUACUUAGAGAAAGAGCUGUUCUUAGUUAACAUCACAUCUACAAAUUGACUUUAAAUUUCUAAUGAAUCGGUCAUAACAUUCUUUUUUUGCUAAAUACUCAUAAAUAUUUAAGUUAUUACAUAAAGAUCCAAUGUUAACACUUAAUAAAAUUGUAUAAAUUCGAUAACAAAAACAUUGAAUUCAAAUAAAAGGAAAAUUUACGUGUAGUUCAGUUAGUCUUGGAAUGACAUAGUACUCAUAUAGAGUUAUGAUGUUCAAUAAUUAUUACAACCAAAAUAAAAUUUUUGAUUGGCCAUAUCUUUCAGAUUUGUAAUCAAAUGGUAGAUGUUUUAACUAAAUUUGUAUUCUGUUGCUUUGAUUUUUAUGUUUGGCUAGAUCCCAACUAAUUAUCUUGUUAUUUUUUAUAGGUUAUUUGUAAAUAAAUGAAGUCUAUUAUUCAGAAAAAUAAUUACCUGCAAACAUCGUACUCUAUUUUCAAUUAUUCGUAUCCAAAAGCAAAAUCUUACAAAAAGGUAAUAAUAUUCCGAAUUAAUUAAAAAACGACACGUAAACAGGCAAGUCCACAAAAACCCACCGAAAAGCGCAAAAAAAAAAAAAGAAACAUGUUCAUUCAAUUUAUCGCGAUACGAUAAAUGCUUAACAAAAUGUCAUAUCAAUUUCACCAUCAAAACUACGGUAUUUUUUUCUAUAUAUUAAAGAAUUUUUUUAAAAGCAAAUAAAAACCCAAAAAAACAAAAAAAGCGACAACUAUGCUGAAACUCACCGUUCCCAGUUUCCCAAUGAAUAAAAUAAGAGUAAUGAUACAGCCACAAACUAUUGUACAAACUUAUUUUGUACAAAUUAACGUGGCACUAAUUCAUUGGUUGAAUGAAAAUAUAAAAUAAUGAAAACAAAUCAUGUGGUCCAAGUGAUAUUUAAUUCAACCAAUCUUAUCAUGCCACAUAAGUUUGUACAAAAUAAAUUUAUACAAGAGUUUGUGGCUAUAUCAUUACUCAUAAAAUAAAUAUAAAGGACUCGUGCGUGCCUUCCCUUUCCCUCCUGUUUUUGUCACCCGCCUCUUCCUCAUCUCGCCAUCUGUUUCCCCCACUACGCCCAUAAAAACGUCACCGUUUCAUUCUCACUCCUUCCUCACACCCCUCUGCUUUUCCCCACAUUCCUUCUUUUCAUAUCAACUCAAAAGUUCAUUCUUUUAACAUUAAUAAUAAUAAUUUUAUUGAAAUAAAUCAAUCAAAAAGGUAACUCCAAAUAUCUCCUCCAGCUUUUUGCUGCUUCUUAAUUUUGAUCGACUAUGACCAUGUACUAAAGGUUCAAUUUUUUUCAGUUUUUUCAGUCAACGCUUUUGCUUUAAGAUUUCGUUUUACCUUCCUUGAAAAUUAAAGCUCACCUAAUUGAUACGAUUAAAAUUAUUUUUUUAGCUGAAGAUUGAUACAAUUUUCACUUCAUUUUUUUCUUAACUUUGUAUCCGGAUUUGCUACUUUUGUUUAAAGUUUUUAUUUUUUUAAUAUUUUUCUGUGGAGCUAAGCGUGACUUUGGUUACAGCUUUAUAUUAUUUUAACAUAUAAUUAGACUAAUUUAU